UUUUUUUUUUUUUUUCCCUUUGAUUUUUUUUUGAGGAAACUAAUAGCCAAAUGAAAACAUAAAGGAAACAAAAGAAAUGUAGAAUAUAGAAGUUUGACAACUUAGAAAUUCAAAAGUCGCUAGUAAGAACCUUGACAACUUGUGACAAGACCCGCUACCAAUAUGCGUCUUAGAACUCAAGUAAUCAAGGAAGAAAACAAAAUAGAUAUGCAACACAAAGAACUGGCUCUGAUACCAAAUGAUGUGAUCUCACCCAAAAUUGAGGUUUGAACACGUUUUGCCCGAUCGUUCUUUUGGUUACAGAAUUGUAAAACAAAGGUGGAAACCGCGACCCGUUGUCUAUAAAGAGACAAGAACCUUGGUAUAAAACGCCACAAUCAACCCACCAAAUUGAUUGAUAAGUUUGAACGCCACAAGCUAUGAAAACCUGAUAAGUUCUAAAGUUCACAAAGAACGAAAAAAGAGUUAAAAACUCACAAAUUGUAUUCAAAACUUGAUUGAUUUCAAAUGGAUACAAAUACCACGUUUUUAUAGUGUGGGAAGAGCACCUAAAGAGCCAUGAAUUAAAGAAGUGUCUUUAAUUUAAGGCAUUUAACCCCCAAGUUUAAAACUAUGAACCUAGACAUGGUUUAUCACAAGGUUCAUGUAACCUAAGACCCUUUUAUCUCCCCAACACUUAUUUAGGAUAUAUAAAAACGAAAAUUACAUAAAAAUAUAGAAAAAAAACGAAAUGGGCUUAUAAAGGCUCUUAUUGUAUCUUGUAAAUCACUCUUGGACUUGAAUUAUGGUAAUCCAACUUUGAUUGGGUCCAAUGGGUCUCCAUACACUUUCUUGAGUACAAACUUCUCUAACCAAUCCAUUUAAAGCCUCUUUGAAUGUUUUAGCUCGUGCCCUCGUAACUGGUCCAUCUGGCAUUUGAUUUGGAUCCUUUGUUGACAGCUGUGGGUUUGCAUCAUAGGAUCCUCGCGUGUGUUCAAGCCCUAAACUGACACUUAGCAUCCUACCCGACACAUUCUCGUAUGGUGAGUUCAUACCCCUACACCAUUUUCCGUUUUUUUCAUGUUUUUAAGGGGGGAAUACAAGCAAAGUACAAGGGUACUUGUACUCAAAACCUUUUAUUUCGUACGAAAUGUUUACAUGAUCAGCAUGCUUUUAACAUAGGAAAUCGUAUCACCAACCAUUUAACUUGUAGAGUUUGUUUUCGAAACUAAAACAGAGAAACUUGUGAAACUCAUUAUAGAAUGAUAUAUUUUAUAUUUCACAAAGGUUUUCAUGCCAUUCAUAAAAUAGGAUUUUUCGUAUUAUUACGUGUAAAUUCGUUAUUCUUAAGAUUGGAGACAUGUCCUCAGUAUCACUCCACGAAGAUACGCGAGUGGAGGACCGCCCCUAUAACCAAAAUCUCCUGGAGGGAGAGCGUGACUUGAGUGUACAGAUCUAUACGGGGCUGACUACCCAGCACCUUGCUGCUAGCUACAGUGAGACCGGCAGGUCUACGGGUGACAAAAGUCACAAAAUGAUAUUGUACUUCUUAUUGCCAUAUCUAGUUUAUCGUAUGGUUAUGGAACUCACAACUUAGAUAAUGAAGAUUUACUCUUAAGUAAUAAUGAACUUAGUGAACUAACCUCAAAGUAAUAACUAUUUGAUUACUAGAGGGUAUCAGUAAUACCCUUAGGUAUUAGUUCACAACUUACUAAUUAGUUUUAUAUACGUGUUAAAACUAAUGUACUCUCCAAGAAUAACCAAACUUUCAGGGAAACUUUUCUUAACAUUGCAAGUAUGGUAGAUACUUGUACGCUUCAUUUCGGAUCAAUAACCAACCACCAACUUUUAAGGAAAAUAGGGGUUUUUCCUGGGAUAACUUAACUUCUCAUAAACAGGCUGUUUAACAAAUGGAUAACCAAACUUCUUAUAUAAGAAAAUAUGGGAUUUUCUUGGGAAACAACUUUUCGCAAACUUAAAGGAACAUUUUCUUUCACAGAAAAAACCGCUCAUGAGCUCACCAGCUUUAUGCUAAUAUUUCAAAAACUGCUUGUAUUCUCAGGUUCACAUUAGACAUGUAUCCCUCUUUCUUUUGGAGAAGAUGGAGUGUAUAGAAGUCUCGUCUUUACUUUUGUUAUACUGAUGUAAAUAUAAAACCUGUAUCACUUUGUUUUCAAACAAAUGUAAAUAUUUCUAUGUAAUGUAAUGGUUGUGUUUACUAUGCUUGCUAUGUACAUUGGUUGUGAUACUUUACAUGACGUCCUCCGCCCCGGAAUGUUUCCGCCAUCGGUUUCGGGGUGUGACAUCAUACCCCUUAAUUAACCUUUUAAAUGCUUUGUAUAAAUAAUUUAUGGGGGGGGGGGGGGGGCGNNGGGGGGAAUACAAGUUGAAUCAUGUUUAGUUAUUAUAUCAAUCACAUGUGAUUAAUAACUAGCAUGCAUAUGGAUUUACUAUACGUUAACUAUUUUACCAGACAUAUUUCUUCAAAUGACUUUCUUAAACGUUUUUAUAUGUUUAAAACUCUUUAUUAAACUGUCUUAGAUACUGUAUGUUUCCAUUUAAACUCUUUUACAACUGAGUUUCAAACAAGUCUUCCUUAUACUUAAACUGUCUUAUCAAACAAAAUACUUUCAAAUCGUUUUAUAAACUGACAUCAAGUCAUCGUUUCUUAUUAUUAAACUUUUCAAAGGUUUUACAAAACUUCUUUUAUGCUUUUAUAUUAUCAAAUGCAUGCCCAUAUAUGUAUAGUUAUAUAAGUAAUGUUUAAAGGACUUAGGAAGGCUAGUUCACUUUAUUUCCUUUUCCUCGUUUGGAUGUGGCUUUAGGGUAUCGGUUAGUCGUCCGAAUGUCGUCUAAAUAUUAGUUAUAUAUCAUGUAUACAUAUAUAGACAUAAAAGUUUCCUCAGUCAGUUCAGUACCUUUGGGUAGCAAAGGCAUACUUUCAGUUAUAUACGUACAUUAUUAGUAACUAUUAUAGGUAUAGUUAGGAGAUACUACUUACCAUUCCAAGCAUAAGGAAUCACACAAGAGUCAAUUCAUUCAUGAGUCUAUACUAGUACAUUACAUGAUACAUGAAUACGUUUACAUAGAUAUGCUUAGAUAGAUACACUUACAUGAAUACGUUUACAUAGAUACACUUACAUAAAUACGAUUACAAUACACGAUAACAGAACAGACAUAACAAGGUGCUAUAGCAUGGAACAAUUUCAGGAGCUAACUAUACCACUGAAUCACAAUGCAUUGUGAUAGUUAUAUUGUGUAUACGUGAUCAUAGUAAUGUGGAUGUUCGCGGCUUGUAAUCAUUGCAGGGAUCGCGUUUGGUUCCCAUAAUCUCUUGACAGGGAGCGUUUAGCAUGGGAUCUAGCCAUCACAUUAUGCCUUAACCCUCAAUUAAGGCAAAAUAGUACAAAAGUAGUCACUUAUUACAAAUACUACAGUACUUACGACAAUUACAAAAGAAUAUAAAACUCCAGUUAAUAUAUUAUUAAUACCUUUACUAUGUGGUAUAUUCAGAUGACCGAUGAGGUAGAUUAGAAUAAUAAUAAUAGUCGUACAGUCGGGUCUUGGUAGAAGGCUACUUUGAAAACAGUUGGGUCUUGGUAGAAGGCUACUUUUAAAACAGUCGGGUCUUGGUAGAAGGCUACUUUCAAAACAGUCGGGUCUUGGUAGAAGGCUACUUUCAAAACAGUCGGGUCUUAGUAGAAGGUUACUUUCAAAACAAUCGGGUCUUGGUAGAAGGCUACUUUCAAAACAGUUAGGUCUUGGUAGAGGAUUACUUUUUAUACUAGUAGGAAAUAUGGAUUUUCUAGGGUUUUCAAACGUUUACAAUUACUUACAAACAUUUCAUGCUUAUACGAACUUUUCUUCAAACAUUUACAAGUCUUUCCUUUACAAUUUUUACAAGAAAAAGACACAUAAAUACUUAUGAAUUCACUAGUUUUUGGCUGAUACUCGCUUUCAAAAUAACUUGUAUUCUCAGGUCACAAAUAGACAGGUACGACGACUAGUUUUUGUGAAGACGGAGCAGUCGAGACUCGUCUUUUAUUUUGAACAUUCAUUAUGUUGUUUAUGAUAUGAAAGAACACACUUGUAAUCAAAAUUAUACUAUUAAUGCAAUGGAUGAGGUUGUUGCUUGUUUACUACUUAGCAUUGUUGUGAUACUUGACAUGACGUCCUCCGCCCCAGAACGUUUCCGUCGUUCCUGGUUUUGGGGUGUGACAGAUUGGUAUCAGAGCAUAGUUUAUAGUGAAUUGAGUAUAUCAACCCAUAAAAGAUAUACUAACUAUAAAUACAUUGGGAUUAAAACACUGGUCAGUCUUGGGAGUGGCAUAGCCUGAUCAACUAUGCUGGUCCAAGGAGUGAUUAGCACAUGCCCAAGAAUGGUUGUGAUGUGUCAACAAGUAUAAAAACUUACCAACAUUACCACAAUGAGAACAUUAUAACAGAACCUAAGUCUAAAAUACUAUGGGAGUAUUUUUUGUUACUAUAAAUACUUACUUGAGAACUAAAAGUAAUCUUCAUUACGAAGUUGAUAGUUGCUAAGUGGAUACACUAAGGUUAUAUGUAACUAGGAUGUCAUAGACUUAGAAUCCGUGAAAUUUUGUUUUACCCCGGUUCCUUGUAAAUUUGGAGUUAAGGUCACUUAUUCUAAGGCAUAUCUUGUUUUGAUUACAUAUAACUGGUAUGCACUUUACAAAUAGUGAUGUAACUAAUGAAGAUUAUCUAAUAAUUACCUAGAUAGUUCGUCUAAUAAUUAUUUUCUUACCCCAAUUCUCGUGUAGAUAACAUGGCUGGACUCCAUCCCCACGGCAACUCGUACAUUCCGAAUGAAGGCAAUGCUGGAUGGUUUGGAAAAGAGCCCGAGAAUGAUCAUCCUGCCCUUUGAAUGAUCACCAUGCUGAAGACCUUUCGGAUGAUGAUAACUCCGAACCCGAAGUUGAGAACCUACCCCUGGUAGCUCCCAUUCCAAAUCCUAACCCUCGUCCAGCUUUUCAUGGCCCGACACCUCCAUGGGUAGAAUGCUUGGAAACAUGGAGCGAAGAUAUAGGGCUGGAAAUUCUCGACACGACCCGCAACAGGAAACGAAAUAAAUGGGUUUGGGUUGAGUUUUUCAACCCGCUAACCCGCCAACCCGCCAACCUGUUUAUUAAACGGGUCAUAUAUGAGUUUCUCAAAAAAUAAAUGGGUUGACCCGCCAACGCGUUUAUAUUCUUAAUAAAAAAAUUAUUUUAUUUUUAAAUGUAUUUAUGUAUCAAGUAUUAAUAUUUAAUAAGUAUUAUUAAAUAUUUUGACUCGUGGUGGAUGGUCUAAGGUCGUAAGUCGUGACCUAUAAGACUAAGUCUGUAACAUGUUUCUAUGAAUGUUUUUAAUUUUCAUUUGGAUGUUUAAGACUUAAAUGUCUAAAAUUCGGACCCAUGAACCCAAAUCCAACCCACGAACCCGCCAACCUGUAAACCCGUAUAAAUAAACGGGUUGGUGGGUCAUAUAUGAAUUUAUGUUCUAAAACCACCAACUCGUGACCCGCCAACCCGUGACCUGUAUAUUUAAAUGGGUCGUGUUUGGGUUGGCAUAUUUUGACCCGCCAACCCACGACACGCAGGGCCGGUCCAAACAUAUAUGGGGCCCGGGGCGAAAAGAAAAAAAGGGCCCCUCAAAUACAAAUAUAAUAAAGAUUCAGAAAAAUAUCAUUACUCUUCAAUAUAGACGUUUUCAAUUAGAAAUAAAAUGCAAACUAAAUUGUUUAUAUUUUGAGCUAAUUGAGUUUCAACCAACUUUAGGCCCUAAAAAUCAUUUAGGUAAUAAUUAUUUAUAUAUAUAAACUACAUAGCCCAUAAAUUUUGGGCGCCUGGAGUCGUGGCCCCUGGGCGGUCGCCCGGGUUGCCCAUCGUCUGGACCGGCCCUGAUGACACGCCAACCCGAACACGACACGAUUGCCAGGACUACGAAGAUCAAUAUUAACCUAUGUCGUUUAAUGGAGACCGAAGCUUCUACAAUGUAAACAAAGGGAGCUCAACAGACAAAGUUCUACCAAUCCUGAUCCGUAGAGUUGCCCGAAACAAAAUUCAGGGCAUGAUGGCUCUCAAAUGUAUCAAAGAGGUUAAUGCCAAUGCAAGAAUGCAUACCAUUCACACCAAUCGCCAUGAUCACACAAGUUAGAGAUUUGAGAGAAACCAUGAAACCCUGCUACAAGCAUUAGCUGAAACCCGAGCCGAAGUCAUAGAGCUCCGAGUACGCCAGAGCGUGUACGAAAGACACCUGCUUGACAUGGAAUGUUAACUGGCUGAACUAAGAGUUCACCAAAGGGAUGACCGUCACCAAUAGGAAAUGGUUUAUCUUCCUUCCUUGUUAAAGGAAUUGUUUUCCUGUCAAUGCCCUAUGUGGCAUUUUUCUAUGAAACUACCUUGUACUGUAAGUACUUUAGUUAGGUCUUUAUGCUGUCAAAGACUUUUCUACUCCUGAUGUGAUGUAAGACCUACAACAAGGUCAAUUUUUUCGAACUUAUUACAUCUUAAGCAUCAAUGAUAUCGACAGUCGGCUAAAUUCUGUGUCACUCCUUGUACAAGUACUUUCAUCAUACUUUCAUAGGAGUCUAUUUGAAACUCACUCUGGUCAAGCUAUUGAACUAGAGUAAUUUAGCUCAGGGAUAAUUUCUAAUUCACUUUCAAAGGUUGGAUCACGUUAUGCACCAGCCAAUGAUACCCCGGUUUGAACGUCAAACGUCUUGAGACCAUUCUACGAACUUACUUCUACUCUGUACUAGGACUGCAUCAUAGGGAUGUAGGUCAAACCUUUGGGAACAUACUUCUACUCUUUACUAGGACUGCAUCGUAGGGAUGUGGGUCAAACCACGAUAACAUAUUUCUAUUCUUUACAUGAACGAUCGGACAUCUAGGUUCAACCAUAAUCGCUCACGAACUCCUUAUUUUUCGUGUUACAGAAUCAUGUCGUCAUCCAGAAGUAGUCAGCCGAAUAACGAAACCCCCAUCCUUCAUAUCGAUGCCGCUACAUUUCAAGCUGCAGUUUCAGCUAACGUGACAGCUGUCCUUGCACACCUCGGCUCUGACAACGCAAACAAGACUGGCAAAGGGGUUGAAAAUACCGAUCGUUGUAACGAUCCGAGAAAUCAACAAAUAGUAACAGUCGCAAACACCCAAAGCCACAACUUAGAGUUCAAGAAACGGAAGAGUCAAGCCCAAAAGGAAUGCAAGCGAUAUGAGGGAACACUCCCGAAGUGUAACAAGUGUAGCUAUAAUCAUAAUGGAGCUUGCCGGGUAUUGCAAUGCAUCAAUUGCAAUAGAAUGGGACACAUUGCCCGUUUCUGUGGAACCACCCCCACCACCAGAGCCAGUCAGGGUUGCUAUAAUUAUGGUGAGACUGGACAUUAUAAAAGGAAUUGUCCAAAAAGGAAGAAAAAUGAAAGCACCCGCGUCCACGUUGUUGGAUUAGUGUCUAAGUCCAUAACUAUUUUGGUAUGUACUUGACCCGAUGGUGCAUGGUCCUUUUGGGUUGCCUUCACCAAAGCAACUUGAUAGGAUGAAUUAUGGAGAGAGAGAGAGAGGAUUAAUUAUGAUUUAUUAAUAUAUUAUGAGAAUAAUAUAUUAAAGGAGAAAUCAUAUUGUUUAAUUAAUAUUAGUCAAGAAUUAAUAAGAAUUAACUUUGUGGCUAAAAGACAUUAAUUAAAUAAAGGGACUAGAUCUGUCAAUUGUGUGAUAGUUGAAUAUUAGGCUAAUGGACUCCAUAGAGGAUGGAGUGGACGAAUUUUAUGGGGAAAACCAUUAGAAAUCGUCCAAGGCCUCUAAGGAGGGAGUCCAUGGGUUGCUUAGGGCCUAAGCAGUCAAAUUAGGGUUUCCUUGUUAGAUAACCCUAAUAGCCUCACUAUUUAAGGACCCCUAUGUCACACCCCGAAACCGAAGGCAGAAACAUCUCGGGGCGGAGGUGACUUCAUGUGAAUCAUAACCAAUGUACAUAGUAAGCGAAGUAAAACACAAAACAUUACAUUACAUAGAUUUCAUUACAUCAGUUGAAAAGUGAAGUAGUACAAGUUUCAUAGAUAUAUAGUUUAAACAAAAGAAAGACGAUUCUUCUACGCACUCCGUCUUCACCAAAAGAGAUCGUCGAAUACCUGUCUAAAGUGGACCUGAGAAUACAAGCAGUUUAAAAAUCAGCAUAAAGCUGGUGAGUUCAUAAGCGGUUUGUUUUAUGAAAGGAACGGGUUCCUUUAGUUUCCUGAAAAAGUGGUUAACCAAGAAAAUCCCAUAUUUUCUUAAGUGUUAGAUACCAAAUCCAAAUUGUAAUGUAAAAGAUGUACAAUGAAAACAUGAUUGUUCUUAUGAUUUGUAAAGUUUAGUUAUUUAACUUAUUACACUUAUCUGGUUACAAACUACUGUUACUCAGGAAAAUCCUAUACUUUCCUAUAUGUGUAAGUGUGACCUAUUACUGGUUCUGAGUGAGGUAACUGAUACUGAUUCCGAUUAUGUUCAUUAUUAUUCAUAGGAAAACCCCAUGUUUUCCUGAAUGUGUGUGUGUACUAUUACCAAUUCUGUGUAUGCUAACUGUUACCGAUUCUGAUUAUGUUUAUUGUUAUCCAUAGGAAAACCCCAUGUUUUCCUGAAAGUGUGUGUGUGUGCAUCAUUACCGAUUUUGGUUAUGUUCAGUGUUCUCCCCGGGAAAACCCCAUGUUUUCCUGAAUGUGUGUAUGUGUGUGCCUAUCAUCCUUGAACGUACAUUAGCUUUACUACGUACAUAAAGCUAGCAAAUGACUCUAAAGCGUUAAUAAUCUAGAUUGCGUGUCCUUAACCAUACUCAGACUAGAUAUGACUCGAGUCGUGGCCAGUAUCCUUUUUAUGACUUUCGUCACCCUUGAACCUUUCGGUUCGGCUGUAGCUAGCAGCCAGGUGCGGGAUUGUCAGUCCCGUAUAGAUCUAUACACUCAAGUCACGCUCUCCUACGUUCGGAGAUUCUGGUUACAGGGGUAGUCCUCCACUCUCGUGCCACGGGACGUGUUACAAAGGACGUGUCUCCAAUCUUUAAGAUUACUCAUUACUUCUCGCCUAGGAGAAGUAGUAUCUAUGACUAACUAGGUUCUAAUGUACCUGUCCUUUACACUCGAGCCUAGGUGUUAUUAUUAAGGACAUUACAAAUGUUCUAUGUUUUCUAAUGACGACUAUCCAUUUACACUCGAGCCGAGGUGCAUUAUUAAAGACAUUACAAUGUUCUAUAUUAUCAAAUGACUGUUGUCCUUUACACUCGAGCCUAGGUGUAUUAUUAAUGACAUACCGAAGUUUUAUGUUUUCUUUAUGGUGUCUGACUUUUAUACUCGUGCCUAUGGUAUUUUAUUACAGACUUUACAAUGUUUUAUGUUUUCUAUCAAUAUAAGUAUGAACAAUCAAAUGUGAAGUAUACAAUAUGACAGUAUAUAAUAAGAAUUGAAAAUCGGUUUUUAAACAAAUAACUCUGCAAGUUAAAACAGUUUGUUAAAAGGGUUUUCAAUCCUUAAAAAUGUACAAGUAUGAAACCAUUUAACUAAAAUCAUAAGUUUAAGUACAAGAUAUUCUUGUACUCUUGCUUGUAUUCCCCCCUGAAAACAUUGAAAAACCAUUGAAAAAGGGUAGGGGUAUGAACUCACCGGACGCGAAAAUGUGUCGGAUGGGAUACUAAACGUCGAACCAAGGCUUGAAUACAAGCGAGGUUCGUAUUUAAUAUUAAAUAAUACACAAUCUAUAUCUAAUUAGAUUUAGAUAACUAAUUAGAUACACUUGAACAUUCUAUGACGCGAAAAUACUCCAAAAUGGGCGUUUGAAGUGACCCGGGUGGAGUUUCAGGACAUGAAUGGCUAGGAUAUAGAGUUUACUCUUCAAGGGUAAAACUCUAGGGAGUGUUCACGGCCCUAACACCACAUCCCCAUGAGUUUACGGCCUUAAACUCAUGGUGGGUGUUUUUAUGAGCUAAAUGGCCUUAAAUCAAAUAAUGGGUGUUGCUAGGUUUGGCUUUUGGACAUUUGAAAGGGAUUAAAUCAUUAUAUGAAUUAAUAGAAGAGUUUAGGGCAGUAAACUAAGAGUUUACGGCCGUAAACUCUCACCCACAUCCAACUUAAUUAUUUUGAAGGCCAAGGAUUAAUCACAAGUGAUUCAACUAAUUUUUACAAGGCUUAGGGUGAGUUUAAGGCUUCAAAUGGCAUCCAUCUAGGAGUUUACGGCCCUGGAGCAUAUGCUCUGGCUGUAAACUCUCAAUUAGAGUGUUUAUGAUGAGUUUAAGGCCCCUAAAUGAUUUUUGGUUGGUUCCAUAAUUUAUUCCAAAGCCUAAGGGAUGUGUAAGUUGCAUUUUAACACUCAAAAGAGGAGUUUACCACCCAUUUAUAUGAGUUUACGGCCCAAGCAUAUUCUUGGGCAGUAAAAUCAUGUUUACUCCUUAAAAAUAAUAUUCAAGGUGUUCUAAGUCCAAUCCAAUAAGUCCUUAACCCAUAUAUAAGCUCCUAUGGUGAUGUGGAAGGGUUUUAAGGCUCAAAAACCCCAAUUACAUGUGUUCACAGCCUAUGGCUGAUCCAGGGCCGUAAACACAUGUUUAUGGUCCUAACAUAUAAGGAUGUUAUACUAGGAGCUAGGAGGCUUACCUUGGUGUUUUAAGGCUUGAAAUGGUUGAUUUUGGCUUAAAAAGAUGGAUUUGAGGAGAGAGGUUAGAGAGAGUGAAAAAGCUUCAAAUGAGGCUUAAUCCAAUUUAAAUAUGGUUUGACUUGGAUACACGGUGGAAUUUUACCCGNAACCGAUGCUUUGGGUCGCACCCCAUUAAGUUGUCGUUACCCGAUACGGUCGAAACUAUAAUUUUUCAAAUUACUAGUUUGGGACGUUUUCGCAUGUUUCCAACAUGUUUGGAUACUUACCUAGUCAAAAUAAAGGUUUUGACUUAAUUGACCUAGUUCAGGACGAAAUCGAAACAAUUCGCUUAAGACGAGUUUUGACGUAACGGUUACGGCGAGGAAGUAAAGUUUCGGGGUGUUACACCCUAGGGCACCAAAAACGUGGCCAACUAAUUCCUUAGGGUUUCCACACGUUUUUGGGUGCCUCCUCUCUUCUCAUUCUUCAUCCUCUUGCUCUUGGUGUUUGUGAGCCAUUAGAGGAGUGACACUUGUGACUCUAAGCUUCCUAAAGCCAUUACAAAGAGGAUUUGAGAUUGUUAUUGCUACAUAACAAUCAAGGUAAGAUCUAAACCCCAUUCUUAUGUUAAUAUGAUUAAAAGUAUGCUAGAUCUAGGGUUUAAAGUCUUGGAUGAAUUGCAUGUACAAUAGAGAAACCUAGAUCCAAGCAUUAGGGUUUGCAUGAGCACAUAGGAUGUUCUUAUGGUAUCAGAGCCUUGAUUGGUUUCUAUUGUAUUGAUGCCUUGUUUAUUUAUUCAAGCUUUAAAAAUCGUUUUUUGUGUCCUUGACUGGGUCAUUAAUUUUCAAAUUUUGAUAUAUAUUUGAGUAUAUCCUUGACCAAACAAAAGAUAAUUACCAUUUAAUUGAAUGAUAAUUUCCUUAUAUGAUAAUAAUUGAUUAUAUAAAUUAAAUUGGUAAAUUGCCUUGCAAGUAAUAGUGACUAGGUCAAAUUUAGAUAAUCAUUAAAUUAAUUGUUUAAUUUAAAUUAUUUGCUAUUUGAUCCUUAAUGUUUUGAAAUGUUUCAAAACUUGCCCUCAAGUUUUGGAAUUUAAAAGUUGAUUAAAAGUUUAAUUUUGAAAUGUUAAAUUCUAAAACCCUAGUAAUUUGAAAAGUUCAAAUCACACCCUUAUGGUUUUAUUAAUUAAUUAAAGUGUAUAAUUAAAAGUGAUUUAAUAAACCCAUAAAGUUUUGGUUUACAUUUAAUUAAAUUAAAAGUAUAAUUUACUAAAUUAAACCACCUAGUAUUUUAAAAGUGUAAAAUACACCCUAUACUAUAUAUAACAUUAAAAGUCUAACAUUAUAUAUAUGUAUGAGUAAAAGUCAGUCUUACCGUUAGUAGGCCUCAUUCACGAAGCUGGUCUAUAAGGGGUGUUUAAGGAAAUUGCCUAUAAAAUGGCGAUUGAAUGGGUAUCCACUCUUACCCACCGCACUCUUGACUAGUGGAGGGUCGUUAGCCGAACGGGUAGGAUAGGACAGAAACCUUCCAUUAUAAGUAUAAUGAAGUACAAAGUAACUAAAUGCUUUUUCAAAUUCCCAAAUCAUAGUUACUUUAGGCAAAAUGUGAAAUUGUAUGCUAACCCAUGGAAUUACACUUCGUACCCUUGUCAAACGUUAGUGGAGCGUGUGUGGUUAACCGGCACACUAAUUUGGGGAUGACAUUGGUAGCGAAGGGUGACUCGAUGUUUGUCAUAGAUCAAUGGAGCGUGUGUGGCUAACCGGCACAUUGAUUAGGUGAUAGUAGCAUUGGGUGCACCACGUGAUUCGUAUGGUUAUUCACACCUUGUUUGUGAUCCUCGGCAUCCCAGUCACAAAUAGUAGGGCAUAAUCGAAUUUAAACAUGCCAUUGAAAAGUUCAAUGAAUCUCAAAAGAUCUAGGAGUUUCAAUUCAUUUAAAACUUAAACUUCUUUUUCGUUUUUCAUGGUGGAAAUUGGUAAAUCGUCAUUUACCUACCUUCAAAUAUUCUGCAACUAGAUUACGGCAUCCCUCUUCUAGGUUGUAGAGUAUUGUGUUGGAUCCUAGCCUCGAUGUUUCAUUUGGGUGUCACAUCGAGGAUUCUAAUCAACUAACUUGAAUUUUUUUCUCCCGUUUUAUAGAUGUCAAAGUAUGACAACUAUGGUCUUCCCAAAUCCCGUGGAACAAGCCUUCCACAUGAAGAUGAUAUUCCACGAUUCGAUCGAGGAACAAGAGAUCAUGCUUCACUUCCUCCACCUCCUCCAAUUAUUCCCUAACCCACUAGUUCGAAGGCUUGAAAAGUUCAAGCUCACUCAAGCCCUUUUGGAAUGUAAACAUGAAGAAGGAAAGUCAGUGUGUGCACACGUCCUAGAGAUGAAGUCACACAUUGAUAGGUUAAGAAUGUUGGGAUCCGUUGUCUGUGAGGAGUUGGCUGUUGAUUGGGUUCUUCAGUCGCUUACUGACUCAUAUAGUAAGUUCGUAAGAGAGUAUUAUAUGAUGAACCACGAUGUGACCCUCAUCGAUCUCACCUAUAUGCUUAUUGCUGUUGAAUCAGCAAUAGUUUGGCGUACUGGAAAAGCAAGUUGAUUGAUGAAUCGGCCUUCCAGACCUCUAUGGAUAUAGGCAAUAGCAACGAAAGGCAUGCCAUGAUCAAAAAGUUUGAUCAUAAGAGAAAGGCAAAGUCUGAAGUAGUUCCAUGUGCUGUUCCAAAAGAGUCAAUUUGCUUUUAUUGCCAAGAGAAAGGGCAUUAGAGAUGAAUCUUCCCUAUUUACCUAAGAGAUCUAAGAGAUGGGAGAGUCAAAACGUAUGGCUCUACUUUUAGUAAAAUCCAUUAACUAACUGUUUUAAGUUCCAAUUCUAGAUUCUUAAUACAUGAUGUGAUAUGAUUACAUUUGGUGUUUUGUAGGAUCAUAGAAAAGAGAGGAAGCUUAAGGGAAGAAGUGAGUGGAAUCUAAUCGUGAAGAAAUGGUUUUCGAUCGCAUUGUUUGAAGAUUAGAUUUUGAGCUACUACUUGGAGUUAGAAUAGAUUGCUAAGAAAUAUGUAGUUUUUCAAUUAAAUUGCAUUGUAAGGACAAAUUUUUCCGCAAUAAAAUAAAAUUUGAUUUUAUAUUAUUUAUCCUUGCAAUGGCAUGUAUAAAAAAUUGAUGUUUGAAAGUUUCUAUUAUUAGCAAUAAUGGAUUAGAUUCUUAAUUAUGUUAUUUGUGGAAAUGUCAAGAAUUUAACAAAUAGGGAAAGUUUCUCAUCGCCCAAGUUUCAAUUGGACAUAAACUUGGAAUUAUACAACUUGGUUCCAUGAUGAAUGAGAAUUUUCAUAUUUGGAAAUUUAGACAAAUUCUUUGACAAAGUGUCAAGUGAAGGACUAGGAGAUCGAGUACACAAAGUUGUGUGUUAAUCAAAUCCACAACAAGAGUAACAAAGAUAUUCGUCAUGAUUUACUAAGGUUAAGUAAAUAUGAUUAUACUUAUGAGAUUAAGUGUAAUUCUGAAUUGAUUGAAAGAGUUUCAAUCAAUAGCAGAACGAAUAAGAAGAAUCAAGUAGGCAGAAAGAUAAAAGUUUCUCUAUUCUAAGAAGAAGGGAGAGUAGCUUUUAUUAUGUUUUAUGAUAGGUCUUAAUGAUUAAGAACCAUAUCUCAAUUGAUCCUCUAAGUGAGUCUUAGUGCAAUUGCAUGUCUAAGAAGAGGAAUUGAGAAUUGAAGAAAUAGUUAAAUCAAGAAGCCAAUCAUACUUCGUUCCAAAAACAAGUUUUAGAGUUAAGAUUGUAACAUUAAGUAACAAGUCUUAAAAACGUUUAUAACAUUCAUAAAAUGUAGAAUUUGAAAAGGUUUUCUUAUUCUUGCACAUUUGAAAUUGGAAAGUUGUGAUGUCUUGGAUAAGACAAAGACCAACUAGGACCACUUUUGUGAAGUGUUUUGUCUUGAUAAAAGUUACACUAACUCUUGAAUACUUGUUUGUCGAGAAAUGUUUAUUGACAAAAGAAUCUUAUAUGUCAAGGAGCCAAUGGGAGUCUUAAUGGUCUUGUAAAGUUUCAAGAACUAAUCAAGAAUAAACCUUAUCGAUCAUCACUAGCACACGACUUGAAGAUUACAACCUAUCGUGUUGACACUAUCUUGUUUCUGUGCGGUUCCAAUUGAGUUAAUUAUGCAUGUGAGUUAUAUGAGUUCUCAUUUGAACGCAUAAAAAAGGCAAGCACUUUGAUCAAUGAAAAGUAAAUUGAUUUGAAAGGGUGAGUUUCUUAACUACUUGGAAGACAUGGUGGGCAGUCGUGUUACCAUAAGGCAAGAAAUCAAGAUUGAGAAAGUUCAGUCCAUAUGAGUUUGGAUUUGUUGCAAACUUUGGUUUUGACAAAUUUACACGGAUAGGAACAUAUACACCAUAAAAUCUAAGUGUUAUUAGAUUCCCUCUUUCAUGAAAAUGACUGUGAGGAAAUGCUUUCACUAAGAGAGAUUCUAAGAAGAUAGUGAUUGUGAAAAUUGUAUUCUCGAAUUCGAUUAUGGUAACGGUAUCCCUUUCCAUAAUUCGAAUUGUGAGAUUUGGCAAUUAGUCUGAAUUGUUUAGACACACAUAUGAGCUAUCUAAGGCAAAGGUGUAUAAGUUUAAGAAGCUUAGAUAAAGGAUUAUCAAAGCAUUAGGUAUUAGAAAUAUGAACUUCAGAAAUUCAAUAAGUAUUGUUUUCUGGAAGUUCAGUUGUUUUCUAAAACAUGUCAAAGCUAGUGGGAGCAUAAGUGUUAUGCUUAUAUGAUAAUAAUCAUCAUGAUAGUGGGAGCAUAAAUGUUGUGCUUGUAUGAUUAUUAAGGCAAGUAUUGCAAGUUAGCAAUAUUAAUUAUAGAAAACAAGAGUUAUACUUUGCAAAGUCGUAAGGGUUGAAAAGUUGUUUUGCUAUAAUUAAGGGAGAGAAUAUUGUACUUCGUUUCAAAAUCUAAAGCUUAGAUUGAGAAAUUUUAAUAAAUUUAGUCAAAGGAUACAUAGUGUGUUCUUAAAUUUCGAUUAUGAUUACGGUAUCCCUCUUCAUAGUUCGAAUUGUAAGAACGAGACACAUAAAAUAUUAUGGCAGAAGAUUGAUAAAGUAUCAUAUCUUUAUGUAAGACAUUAUGCAUCGUGUCCCAUACGCUUCGGGUACAGGAUUGAUUGCUAGUGCUAUUAAAUUUGACCAUUCUAAAAUUUUCCAAAUCUCUAGCGCAUUUAGAGGGAAAAAGGACUAGAAUCGGUUUUGACUAAAAUAAUUAAACAACUAUCAAAGGACGAUCGAAAGCUCGCUAAGGAUUGGUCGCUUGUGAGUAGUUGGAAGUAUGGUAUUGGAUGACAUUAUUAUGAAUAGAUAAGAUUCUAUUAAGAAUGAAUUGUCAUAUGGCAAAUAUGGAAAUGUUUCCAUAUUGGGAGUUGGAUAUUGAGAAUCUAUAUCUAGAUUAGAAACUUUUAUGCAAGAAGGAUGUUCAAAGGAAUGUACUUUGAGUGAGAGACAUCAUAUCUAUAUAAUUGUUUCUGAUAGAGAUUGGCCAAGACUUGAUGAUUUUGAGCUAUGACCUUACGAAAAAAAUCAUUGCAUAAAAUGUUAGUAUCUAGCAUAAGUAACAAGAAUUUGAUAUUCUUAUACUUAUGAUAAGGAUUGGGAGUUGUGAAAUGAGUAUGAUUGGAAAUGUGUUCAUUUUAUGUAUUUCACAAAGUAAGGACCGUAGAUAAACAUUGUGUGCAUGCUGAGAGCAUGGGACAAGUGUAGUUAUAAUUCAAGUAAGAAGUUGAUUACCCGAAACAACAAAUAAUGAGUAAUCAAUAUGGUGAUUAAAUAAAAUGUUUUAUUUAUACCCAGAGUUUGGGGCCAUAUGGGAUUAGUAUUAUUCUUGUGUUUCACUUUGCAUGUUUUGACUUCCUGAAUAAUUAAAUUGGUUCAGAACAAUCAAAUUAUUCGAAUGGACCACAGUCGUUCAUAUGUUGGAAGUAGGUAUGAAUGAAGAUUGUCGUGAAUUGGUGUGUAGACUGUCUAAAGUGUAUUAGACAUAAGCAAAUGUUUGUUGGAAUGUUCAUGAGUGCUUAUGAAUAUGAUUUGAGCAUUGGAUUAAACCCACGCUCACUUGGAUCACUUCAUGGAUUUUAUCACGAGUGAUUGGUAAGAUGAUAAUAUCUUAUAUUCUUGAAACCGAGAUGUGUGAGUUGUAUCUUGCGAAUCGGUUACACAUUGAUAAUAUGUAAACACACCAGUAACUUGGUGUCAUAAAACAUAUUGUUGUGUGUGAUUCGGUGAGUGAGUGCAAGCAAGCAUUGAAUCAAAGUUUAUCCAUUCCUUUUAUCCAAAGUGGGACGAAAGCGAUACAUGUGGGCCCCUCGAUGAUUUAGUGAUGGCACCUAAGCGCUUGGCCAAGUUGGGACUAAUUUGAUGUGUUCAAUUGUAGUCUGUUGUCAGUCGUCAUAAAUCGGAAAUCGGGAAACAGUAUAGAGAGAACGAUUGAAAUCCAUGUCCCAUGUCUAUACGAUAUCUAGAAUGGAGGAAUAUAUGAUCCCUUAUCUAAAGGACACGCUUCUGAUCAGAGUUGACAGCGGUUUUUGAAAGCUAUGAUUGUAGAUCAGGAUCUGAAGUCAUACACAGAAUAGUUAUUAGACUUAUCCAAGUGGGAGACUGUUGGAUUAGUGUCUAAGUCCAUAACUAUUUUGGUAUGUACUUGACCCGAUGGUGCAUGGUCCUUUUGGGUUGCCUUCACCAAAGCAACUUGAUAGGAUGAAUUAUGGAGAGAGAGGAUUAAUUAUGAUUUAUUAAUAUAUUAUGAGAAUAAUAUAUUAAAGGAGAAAUCAUAUUGUUUAAUUAAUAUUAGUCAAGAAUUAAUAAGAAUUAACUUUGUGGCUAAAAGACAUUAAUUAAAUAAAGGGGACUAGAACUGUCAAUUGUGUGAUAGUUGAAUAUUAGGCUAAUGGACUCCAUAGAGGAUGGAGUGGACGAAUUCUAUGGGGAAACCCAUUAGAAAUCGUCCAAGGCCUCUAAGGAGGGAGUCCAUGGGUUGCUUAGGGCCUAAGCAGUCAAAUUAGGGUUUCCUUGUUAGAUAACCCUAAUAGCCUCACUAUUUAAGGACCCCUAGGGCACCAAAAACGUGGCCAACUGAUUCCUUAGGGUUUCCACACGUUUUUGGGUGCCUCUCAUUCUUCAUCCUCUUGCUCUUGGUGUUUGUGAGCCAUUAGAGGAGUGACACUUGUGACUUUAAGCUUUCUAAAGCCAUUACAAGGAGGAUUUGAGAUUGUUAUUGCUACAUAACAAUCAAGGUAAGAUCUAAACCCCAUUCUUAUGUUAAUAUGAUUUAUAGUAUGCUAGAUCUAGGGUUUAAAGUCUUGGAUGAAUUGCAUGUACAAUAGAGAAACCUAGAUCCAAGCAUUAGGGUUUGCAUGAGCACAUAGGAUGUUCUUAUGGCUAAAACCCAUCACACGUAACUCCGACCCAACACAUCACUUCCACCACCAAUGCUAGUACAAGACAGAUAUUUCACCAAUGUGGCGAGAUUGGACACCUCAAAAAGGAUUGUCCAAUAACAAAGAACUCCGGAUCAGACGGGUGGAUACUAAUGAUCACUACCGUAGGAGAGACUCCUCCGGACCCUCGUUAAAGUAUCUAAGGCGAUCGUUGUAACAUACUUAUAAACCGUUUAAAACUAAUGCAACUAGAGUCUUAUCUUUUGUGAGAUCCCGUAAGUAAAGGGACCCACGUGCUGCGUAUACUUGUCUUUUGUAGUAUGCCUUGGUCGCAGCAAUAGUCUUGUAGUGGAUCUAAAGUUCAGUAACUCUAUAAAGGUUGCACUGUUGUGUUUUGUCCGUAACGCCUUAUGUUCAAAUAUAAUGUCUUUACUUCCAAGUAAGUCCGACAUUAUCAUACAACUUGAGUCAAUUCGAUCCGCGCAAUACCAGUGUCGUGCGCACAUCUCUUUCUCCGAAAUCGCCUUUCUAGCGAAGCCGUCAUUCCAGAACUCCGAAGUACUCAUGCGUAGAGUACCUCAUGUUUCUUAUCUGUUCCGAAGAAACCUCAGGAAACCUCCCCGGAGUACCACUCGUAUAAUACGUCAAGUUCAAACCAAGGACCCUUAGGUUGAUCUAUCGCUGAAGAUUGUAUACACAGGGGUGGUAUAUAAUCAAGGUUCUACAGGUUUAGAAUUGAUGAUUUCACUUUAACUUCUUUUCCUCGUUGGGAUGUGAGCUUAAAGAAGAAUCAUUUAUUUGACUACCUUUUGAAUCUUAAUUAUAUACGACUCGUAUACACGAGACUGUGAUUGAUAAACCAUGUAUGACAUCUAAUAUGAACUUCAGGACAGAGACUGCCCAAGACUACGAGUAAUCGCAUCGUCAUGCAAACAAACUUAGAACCCAAUACGACUCCUGUAACCAGAUCGCCUUACAGCCUAACACCUACGGAGAUAUAAGAACCGUCCGAACAACUUAACCUACCCCGCGAACUCAGUAACGUACGUUUUACCCUCCACGCCUCGAACUUGAAGAAGUAUCUGUCCGACGAGACUCUUGAAAUCCCACUCGACGAGAUUGGGUCCAACGAGAGCCUCACCUUUCUAAAAGAACCGUAGUAACCAUGAACCGAGAGGGCAUGCGAAUGAUUCAUAGCCGUUUACCAUUAGUGAAGGUUCGCUGGAAUGCCAACCGAGGACCUGAAUUCACUUGGGAGCACGAGAAUCAAUCGUUUGGGGAGUAUCCCCACUUCUUGUCUCGAUUAUUCAUGCCUACUACUCUACCUAAAUCCUAAUUUCGGGACGAAAUUCCUUUAACGGGGGGAUGAUGUGACAACCUGAAAUUUCUAUUCUGUACAACCCUUCACUUUAAUAGAAGUCAUAACAUUUUCUGCUAAUUUUCAAGCUUUUUGGAAUAUGUUUAAGUAUUUUAGGAUUAGCACUUUGAGAGAAAUCAGGAGAGAGGAUGCCCUAGGGUUUAUUGUGUAUCAAUAAAGUUCCAAAAACUCCAAGAUUUUGGAGUUUACGGCCCAAAUGGUAUUAGGGCCGUAAACCCUAAUGACUAUAUAAGUGACACUUAGUUAUUUUUAGCUUUUUUCACACUUCCAAGUCUAGAAACCAAUUCUCUCUCAAGUAUCAUCCAAAGUUCUUCCAAAAUCUUCAAGAAAGUAAGUGUUUUCUUCCUUGUUUAGUUGAUAUCUAUCUUAAUCUAGCGAUCUUACAUGAUUUCAUCCAUGAAAUCAUUCCAAAUGUGUAGAUCUUCAAGUUUCACCAAGAACACCAAAAACACACACUAGUGUUCUUGGACUUUAAACACCUUUUCAAGCUUCUACAUAGUAAGUACUCUUACCUAGGCUUGUUAUAAGACUUGUUACACUUCUUAUCAUCAAGAAAACACCAUUGAAACCCAAGAUCAAAGGUGCUUAUGGUACAAGAACACCUUGGACCGUAAACCCUAAUUUAAGGGCCAAAGUGACCCUAGUCCCUUCACAAGCUUUGGAAACUAGUCUAGACUCAUUCCUUUAUAUGUUUAGGACUUGAAAACAUCAAAAUACCAUAAUCCAUAAGGUUUUACGAUAGUAAACCCAAAAGGAAAUGGUCUUAGGGCCGUAAACUCCUCAAAGGAGGGAAAUGGUGCCCUAAUCUCUUCAAAAGGCUUAACCAUCAAGUAGAAAUGCUUCUAGGGGCUUAUAAGCCUUCAAAACAACUCAUGGUCAAGAAAGCUUGACUUUACGGCCGUAAACUCCUGGGUUUACGACCGUAAACUCAAUGAGUUAUGGUCAAUAAAGCGUAAACUCAUGUAAGGGGUUCUCUUGAACCCUAAACUCAAUGGCUUUGUCCUACAACACUUAGAUGCACUACUUAGCACUUAUAACACUUAUAUUUUGUUUUCCAUGUCCUAGGGUGACUUAACUUUGUUAAUUAGUUGUUUAAAGACUAAUUGGAUACAUAUAUGUGUCAUUACAUGUUAACUAGGAUCCUUGUGUGUGCUCAAGUUUUCACUUAACACCUAGCAAUCCUGUUUCAUCAAUUCAUCCAUGCCACUCACUAUAGGUGAGUUCAUACCCCUUGAUUAACCUUUUAAAUGUCUUGUAGAUGUUUAUAAAUGCUUUAUGGGGGGGGGGAAUACAAGUUGAAUCAUGUUUAGUUAUUAUAUCAAUCACAUGUGAUUAAUAACUAGCAUACAUAUGGAUUUACUAUACGUUAACUAUUUUACCAGACAUAUUUCUUUAAAUGACUUUCUUAAACAUUUUUAUAUGUUUAAAACUCUUUAUUAAAGUGUCUUACAUACUGUAUGUUUCCUUUUAAACUCUUUUACAACUGAUUUUCAAACAAAGGUCUUCCUUAUACUUAAACUGUCUUAUCAAACAAAAUACUUUCAAAUCGUUUUAUAAACUGAAAUCAAGUCAUCGUUUCUUAGUAUUAAACUUUUCAAAGGUUUUAAAAAACUUAUUUUAUGCUUUUAUAUUAUCAAAUGCAUGCCCAUAUAUGUAUAGUUAUAUAAGUAAUGUUUAAAGGACUUAGGAAGGCUAGUUCACUUUAUUUCCUUUUCCUCGUUUGGAUGUGGCUUUAGGGUAUCGGUUAGUUGUCCGAAUGUCGUCUAAAUAUUAGUUAUAUAUCAUGUAUACAUAUAUAGACUUAAAAUUUUCCUCAUUCAGUUUAGUACCUUUGGGUAGCAAAGGCAUACUUUCAGUUAUACACGUACACUAUUAGUAACUAUUAUAGGUAUAGUUAGGAGAUACUACUUACCAUUCCAAGCACAAUGAAUCACACAAGAGUCAGUUCAUUCAUGAGUCUAUACUAGUACAUUACAUGUUACAUGAAUACGUUUACAUAGAAUACGCUUACAUAGAUACGCUUACAUGAAUACGUUUUACAUAGAUAUGCUUACAUAAAUACGAUUACAAUACACGAUAAUAGAACAGACAUAACAAGGUGCUAUAGCAUGGAACAAUUUCAGGAUCUAACUAUACCAAUGAAUCACAAUGCAUUGUGAUAGUUAUAUUGUGUAUACGUGAUCAUAGUGUCACACCCCGAAAACCAAAGGCGGAAACAUUUCCGGGGUUGACUCUACGUUGAGUAUCAAAUCCAAUGUACAUAGUAAUCACAGUAAACAACCAUUACAUUACAUAUAUUUGAAAGUUUACAUUCGUUUCAAAAGUAAAUUGUACAAGUGUUAUACAUAUAUCAUAUGAACAAAAGUUGAGACGAGUCUUCUGAGCACUCCGUCUUCUCCAAAAGAUAUCGCCGGGUACCUGUCUAACGUGGACCUGAGAAUACAAGCGGUUUGAAAAUCAGCAUAAAGCUGGUGAGUUCAUAAGAUGUUUGUUUUCUGAAAAUGUACCAAUUUCCUUUAGUUUUCCGAAAAGGUUUGUUAUCAAAGAAAAUCCCAUAUUUUCUUAUGUAAAACAGUUUAGUUAUCCUUCAUUACAGUUCAAUUACGCGUUAUAUGAUACCCCAGGAAAAUCCCAUAUUUUCCUAAAUACAGACCGAUUUAAUAUCACAGAGUAUAUAGUUUAAUACACAAAACUAUAUAUUGAAAAUCUUGGGAUUACUAUCCCGAAUUAGAUAUAAAAUACUUUAAUAUACGUGAACUGUAGAUGGAAAGUAGUUUGAAAAUCUUGGGACUAACAUCCCGUACUACAUAUAGAUUUAAUACCAUGGGAGUAACAUCCCAGACUAGAUACAAGAUAGUUUUGAUAUAUUUGAAAAUAUAGAAUGAAAACCAUGGGACUACCAUCCCGGACUAGAUACAAAAUAGUUUGUUAUGAACCGUGGGAUUACUAUCCCGAACUAGAUAUAAGAUAUUUUGAUAAAACCAUGAGAUUACUAUCCCGAACUAGAUAUAAGAUAGUUUGAUAAAACCAUGGGAUCACUAUCCCGAACUAGAUAUAGAUUCUAACCAUAGGAAUAACAUCCUGCAAUAGAUAUGAACCUUAUGGACCAAAAACCAUGGGAUUACCAUCCCGUACUAGAUAUAUAUCCAAAACCAAAGCCGUGAAUAAACUUGUAUUAAUACAUAUUGUGAGUCGGGUAACCAUGCUGAUACGACAACGAGACCUCCUUGACGUUUGUCAGACGUCGGACGAUAUCCAGAAUUUGUCACCCCAGGCGUGCCCGCCUAACUGUAGCUAGCAUUUAAGGUGUGGGAUUGUCAGUCCCGAAUAGAUCUAUUCACAAAUUCCUCGCUCUCCCUCCAGGAGACUCUGGUUACACUUCUGGGGAGGAUUUACUGAUCAUCCAUAAAGGGUAGUGACUAACUCACAAACUAGUACUAAACUAUUCACAGGGUUCUCAUACGAUACCAAACAUACAAAGAUUAUGAAACGUAAUACAGUGAAUAUAGACACAUACAAUGAAACUAUCUAGCAAUACAUUCAAAUGAUGCGGAGAUAAACUAAAUCAGACAUAGUUUAUCUAAUAACUUUAUACACAUAUCAGUACAUGAUAAAAUGAACGCUAAAGACCCCAAAUUAUUCCCAUAAUAAUUUGAUUAGUUUGGUUAUUUUCUUAACUAAAAUCCAUUUAGUUGUAAUUGAUAAAUCAUCCCUUAUGCUCAGCAUAAUACAUAAGGAGUAAAAGUGUUUAUAAAUUUGCCAGAUAUUAUUUGAAACACAUCAAUGUUAUGUUUUGAAAACAGUUAUAGUUUGCUUGUAUUCCCCCCUGAAAACAUUGAAAAACACGGAAGAAGCGUAGGGGUAUGAACUCACCGGACGAGAAACGUGACGAUUUAGGAUGCUAAAUGUUGGUUCGGGACUUGCUAACGCACGAGGUUCCUAAGUAUAAUGCAAAGGUACACAUUUGUAUCUUAUUAGGACUUAGAUUAUUUAACUGUUAGAGACAAACACUUUUUGUCACGGAAACACCCCAUUACAAGUGUUUGGAGGGACCCGGGUGGCGUUUGGGGACACAUAUAGCUAGGAUAUUGAAUUGGGACUUCAAGAGUAAACUCUUUAGGAGUUUAGGGAGUUUACGGCCCUAAUGACCCCCUCCCCAUGAGUUUACAGCCGUAAACUCAUGGUGGGGUGAUUUAUGGCACAAUUUGGCUUGAAACAAAUUAGGAUAAAUGUUAGAAUUUGUUUUAAGGGCUUGNUCUAGGUUUGGUUUAAGGGCUUGGAAUGAAUUUUAAACACCAAUGAACAUACUUAAGGGAGUUUACGAUCUAGCAUGGGACUCAUGGCUGUAAACUCCUAUAUACCCAUGAAUAAUUGUGUUAUUGAUUCCAAACAAAUCACAUGUGAUUGCUAAAAUUGUUCCAAGGCCUUACAUGAAUUUUUAUGGGACUUUUGAGGUGUUUUUGGAGUUUACGGCCUAUGAGACCCCCCUCAUGGCCGUAAACUCUCUUAGAGUGUGAUUCAUUAUGUUUUAAGGCCAAAACUUGUUUGCAUACACUUCUAAAAAUUAUUCUAAGGCUUUAGGGGUGUUAAAAUGGCUUUCUAACACCUUUAAAGGAGUUUGCACCCCAAAAUGAAGGGUUUACAGCCCAAGCACAAGUCUUGGCCGUAAACUCCCAAUUAUCCCUCAAAUUUUGUGUUUCAAGUGUCCCAAGGCUAAAACCAAUAUUCUAAAAUUCAUAUCUAAGCCUUAGUAGUGUUUUGGAAGGGUUUAAGGUCAUGAAAACCCCAAAUAUAUGAGUUUACGGCCCAAGCAUGUGCCUUGGCCGUAAACUCAUUCAAAUCACUAAAAAUCCAUGUCUAAAAUGUUUUAAGUCCAUUCCAUGAAGUCAUUUAGCCAUAUCUAAAGUCUAGUUGUGGUUUGGAAGGGUUUUAGGGCUUAAAAACCCCUUAACUAUGUGUUUACGGCCUAAGCUUCUAUCAAGGCCGUAAACUCACAUUCAAGGCCUUAAAUCAUGAUUAAAUCCCGAAUUUGGAAGCCAAUUAUGCUAUACAUUAAGGUUAGGAAGGUACUUUAGGGAUUUGAGGCCUUAAAAUUGAGUUUUGGACCCUUAAACUUGGAUUUAGGAGAGAGGUUAGAGAGAGAGUAGUGAGAGAGAGAAAAAGCUUCAAAUGAAAUGUUUAACACGUUUAUAUAGGUUGCAAAACUUGGACACGGUGGAAUUCUACCCGAUACCGGCAUUAAAUGGGGCUUUUGGUCGCACCCAAUUAAGUUUCCGUAAUCCGGCAAGGACAUUUCUAAAAUUUAUGAAAUAAACAUUUUGGGCCUAAAUUCAUGAGUUCCUAAGAGGUUUGGACACUCAUUAGUAUCAAUUAAACAUAUAAGUUUGAUUAACUUAACCCAAAAACGACAUCGGAACGUUUCGAUAUACGACGAGCUAUACGGGUAGAAUAGGUUUUCGGCGAUGNUGAACAACUUGGGUUGUUACACAUAGUAAUGUGGAUGUUCGCGGCUUAUAAUCAUUGCAGGGGUCACGUUUGGUUCCCGUAAUCUCUUGACAGGGAGCGUUUAGCAUGGGAUCUAGCCAUCACAUUAUGCCUUAACCCUCAAUUAAGGCAAAAUAGUACAAAAGUAGUCACUUAUUACAAAUACUACAGUACUUACGACAAUUACGAAAGGAUAUAAAACUCCAGUUAAUAUAUUAUUAAUACCUUUACUAUGUGGUAUAUUCAGAUGACCGAUGAGGUAGAUUAGAAUAAUAAUAAUAGUCCUACAGUCGGGUCUUGGUAGAAGGCUACUUUCAAAACAGUCGGGUCUUGGUAGAAGGCUACUUUCCAUGUCACAUGGCAAAAACAACUUUUAAACAUGGUGUUUACACUCCUUUGCCAGUUCCUAUUCGUCCUUGGGAAGAUGUGUCCAUGGAUUUCAUUAUGGCUUUGCCUAGAACUCAAAGGGGGAAGGAUUCCAUUAUGGUGGUGGUGGAUAGGGUUUCAAAAAUGGCUCACUUUGUGCCAUGUCAUAAAACAAAUGAUGCAUCUAACGUGGCUGAUUUGUACUUUAAAGAGGUGGUUCGUUUGCAUGGUAUUCCUAAAACAAUUGUUUCUGAUAGGGAUUCCAAGUUUCUAAGUUACUUUUGGAACACUUUGUGGAGGAAAGUCGGUACUAAGUUACUUUUUAGUACAUCCCAUCAUCCACAAACGGAGGUGAAUAAUAGAACUUUGGGUACUUUGUUGAGAGGGUUGGUUAGCAAAACUCAAAAAGAUUGGGACAUCAAACUUGCACAUGCCGAAUUUGCCUAAAAUCGUUCUCUUACUUAUGCUACAGGUCACUCCCCUUUUGAGGUGAUGUAUGGUGUGAAUCCUUACAUGCCUUUGGAUUUGAUUCCAUUGCCAAAGAAUGAAUUGGUUCACAAGGAUGCUAACGACAAGUUGAAAGCCAUGAUGAAACUACACCAACAAGUUCGUGAGAAGAUUGAAGUUGUGAACGAGUUGUACAAACAGAAGUCCAACAAGCAUAGGAAACCACGUGUCUUUCAAGAUGGAGACUUGGUGUGGGUGCAUAUGAGGAAAGAACGUUUUCCUAACAAAAGGAAAAACAACCUUAUGCCUAGAGCUGAAGGUCCUUAUACAGUGGUGUCACGUGUCAAUGAUAAUGCUUAUAAGGUAGAUUUAGGAGGAGACCAUGGAGUGCAUGCUACCUUUAAUGUGGGAGAUCUUUCACCUUAUUUGAUGAUGAUGGACUUGAUGAAUUGAGGACAAUUCCUUUCAAAGGGGGAGGGGACGAUCCAUUCAUGGAACAUGAAAACCCAAAAGGUGCGUGAUUACUAGUGGGCUAGAAGGUGGUUUGGGCUCAAUGGUUGGGUUGUGCAUGGUAACCCACAAAUUGAAUUAAGGUUGCAUGAAGGCUAAGGCAACAUUUUUAAGGCUUCACAAGUGCUAAAAACGUUACUUUUUACUUCAUAAAGCCUCCUAGCCGUUUUUAGCACUCUUUGGUGGAUUAAGGUUGUACUUUAAUGCUUCUUAUGGCACCUUAAUGAAGCAUAGACGAAUUUUUUUCAUUCUAAUUGUCUUGGACGUUUUUUUUGUGUCAUUUCAAGAGUUUCCUUAAAUUUCAUUUACUAGUUUUAAAUUUCAUUUACUAGUUUUAAUGGCACCAGUUUGUAAUAAAGGCUUCAUAUAAAGCCAAGUUUACGCAUGGGAAAGAUAAUAUACGAAUUUUAAUCAAAGAACCCUUAUUUUCACUUUGAAUUAUUGUCAUAGUUCACAAAUUAUCAUCUUUUGGACGUGAUCCUUGAGUUGAUAGAAUUCAAACUAAUAGGUCUUAUUUUGUCUUCAAAUUUACAAGCUAUAGGUCUAGUUUGCUUAUCAAAUCUAUCCUUAUCUUUCCAUGUAUUUGUGGUUGUUAUUCUAGGUUAAUUUACCUAAACAUUACCCCAUUCACUAAAUCAAGCCCAUACACGCAUCAUAUACAAUGAGAAAUAGAUAGACAGUUGAAUGUGUGAACUCGAUUUUACUUUCCUUUUCCUUGUUUGGAUGUGGGGGUACGACAGGAUCACACAAUCAAUUGUCCGUCCGUCUCUGAUUAUAUAUAAUAAGUAUGUACUAAGUGAAUCACAGGAUAGUCUUAGCAUACAAAGUACUAAUUAGAGCACUAUUUAGAAUACAAUUUAGAGAAACAUAACGAACAAAUUAUAGUCUUUCUAUAGUAUAUUUAUUAUACUAUGAACUGAGACUAAGCAUACUAUAACAUAGUAUAAUAACCCAUAUAAAGAAUGGUUGUAUGAGGUAUAAAACAACGUAUACUAUUCCAUAGUAUAUUAAUACAUUUAUAGGACGGAUUUUAUGAUGAUUUAUAGCUAACCUAUUCAAUCACACAGUACGUCAACAUUCAGUAGAACGGUUUUAGGGGAUAAAACUACAUUUCAAUAAAAAAUAGAGAAUAUAGGAGUCUCUGGGAUCAAUGGUAACACUUUCUAGGUAAACUAUUACAUUUUUAAAGGAUUCUUAAGAAUGUUAAUGAGAUCUCCUCGCUUAUACAUUCCCGAGUUAUAUAUAACGAAGAUCUGGUAAACAAAAGAAUGUGAGAUCUCUGUUUUACAUUCCUUUUCCUUGUUUAGAUGUGGGCGUACGACAGGAUCACACAGUUUAUUAUCCGCCCAAUCUUGAUUAUAUAAUAACGUGUAUAAGGUAAGUAAUCAUAGAUAUUAACUCAUCACUUAGUAGAAUCAGUAUAGCAUAGAUAACUAUUUGUUCGAGCUAUAAUCAUUUAGUUUAUACAUUAGGGUUAUAUAUAAUGAAGACCUGCUCGAUUGGAGAAUGUGUGAACUCAGUUUGACUUUCCUUUUCCUUGUUUGGAUGUGGGGGUACAAUCGAAUUACACAAUCGAUUGUCUGUCGCGUAUUGAUUAUAUGUGACUAGUAUAAACUAAGAGAUUAUAGAAGGAAUUGGUUAAGUAACACUUUACAUUAAGAAAAUAUAGGAUUUUCUUGUAGAUCAUUCAAACUUUUUCAAUUGUCAAAGUAGUUUCUUACGUUAAACAAAAUCUUAUGCACUCACCAGCUUUAUAGCUAAUACUCGCUUACAAAAUACUUGUAUUCUCAGGGAUCUAUUAAGACAGGUAUCCACACCAGAGUUUGUGAAGACGGAGCAGUAGUUUCUCGUCUUAUCUUUCGAUACAAUCAUAUUAUUAUCAACAUGUAAUGUUUUGAACUUGAUGUAAACACUUUAAUAUCUAUACAAUGAAUGUUGUUGCUUUUGAUUACUAUUAUGCAAUUGUUGUGAUACUACAUAUGACAUCCUCUGCCCCCGAACAUUUCCGUCGUUCCGGUUUUGGGGAUGUGACAAUAGCUUUGCUUAAAUUGUAUAGACUUCUAUUGUGGAACUCAAGAUUUAAACAACGCUCUUCAAAGCUUUUCUAAAUUGCAAAGACAACUUUUAUUGUGGAACUCAAGAAUUAAACAGUGCAUAUCAAAGCUAUGCUAAAUUGCAUAGACUUCUAAUGUGGAACUAAAGAAUAAAAUAAUGCUCAUCAAAGCAUUGCUUAAAUUUCAUAGACAUCUACUGAGGAACUCAAGAAUUAAACAAUGCUCAUCAAAGCUUGGCUAAAUUGCGAAGACUACUUCUAUUGUCGAACUCAAGAAUUAAACAAUGCUCAUCAAAGCUUUGCUAAAUUGUAUGGACUUCUAAUGUGGAACUAAAGAAUGAAACAAUGCUCAUCAAAGCUUUGCAUAAAUUGCAUACACUUCUAUUACGGAACUCAAGAAUUAAACAAUGCUCAUCAAAGCUUUGCUAAAUUGGAAAGACUGCUUCUAUUGUGGAACUCAAGAUUUAAACAAUGCCCAUCAAUGCUUUGCUAAAUUGCAUAGACUUCUAAUGUGGAACCCAAUAAUGAAACAAUGCUCAUCAAAGCUUUGCUAAAUUUCAUAGACUUAUAUUGUGGAACUCAAGAAUCAAACAAUGCUCAUCAAAGCUUUACUUAAACUGCAUAGACUUCUAUUGUGGAACUUAAGAAUUUAAAGAUGCUCAUCAAAGGUUUGCUAAAUUGCAUAGACUUCUAUUGUGGAACUCAAGUAUUUUACAAUGAUCAAUAAAGCAUUUGUGUAACUCAAGAAUGAAACAAUGCUCAUCAAAGCUUUUCUAAAUUGCAUGGAAUUUUAUUGUGGAACUUAAGAAUCAAACAGUGCUCAUCAAAGCUUUUGCUUAAAUUGCAUAGACUUCUAUUGUGGAACUCAAGAAUUAAAUGUUGCUUAUCAAAGCUUUGCUAAAUUGCAAAGACUACUUGUAUUGUGGAACUCAAAAAUUUAACAAUGCUCAUCAAAGCUUUGUUAAAUUGCAUAGACUUCUAAUGUGGAACUCAAGAAUGAAACAAUGCUCAUCAAAGCUUUGUUUAAAUUGCAUACACUUCUAUUGUGGAACUCAAGAAUUAAACAAUGUUCGUCAAAGCUUUGCUAAAAUUCAAAGACUACUUUUGUAGAAAUCAAGAAUUAAACACUGCUCAUCAAUGCUUUGCUAAAUUACAUAGACUUCUAUUGUGAAACCCAAGAAUGAAACAAUGCUCAUCAAAGCUUUGGUAAAUUGCAUACACUUCUAUUAUGGAACUCAAGAAUCAAACGAUGCUCCUUAAAGCUUUGCUUAAAUUGCAUAGACUUCUAUUGUGGAACUCAAGAAUUAAAAGAUGCUCAUCAAAGCUUUGCUAACAAUUAAGUUGGUGAGUUUAUAAGAGUUUUAUUUUGAAAAGAAACUGUUUUCCUUGUAAAAGCGAUAAAGUUAUUCCAGAAAAUCCAAUAUUUUCCUUUAAGAGUGAAUUGUAAGUUUCUAUAUUAGAAAAUAGUGCAUCUUAGAAUUUCCUAUAGUUUCCUUUUAUAAUCUCUAAGUGUAUAUAAGUUAUAUAAAAUUAAAGUCAAAUAGAUCGUCGAAUGUAAUGGGUCUACCCUAGGCCCACUGUAACAACCCAAAGUUUUCCAUCGCUGAGACCCGUUCCGCCCAUAAAAUUCGCCGUUUAUCAAAUCGUUCCGAUUUCGUUUUGGGCUAAAUUAUUUAAACUUAUAUGUUUAUUAUUAUUAUUAUUAUUAUUAUUAUUAUUAUUAUUAUUAUUAUUAUUAUUAUUAUUAUUAUUAUCUAAUGAGUUUCCAAAACCCCUUAGGAACUCAUGAAAUUAGCCCGAAAUGUUCAUCUCAGAAAUUUUAGAAACGUCCCCGCCGAGUUACGGAAACUUAAUCGGGUGCGACCAAAAGCCCCGUUUAAUGCCGGUAUCGGGUAGAAUUCCACCGUGUCCAAGUUUUCGGACCUAUUUAAACGUGUUCAAACUUUCAUUUGAAGCUUUUGCUUCAUCUUUCUACUCUCUCUCUAACCUCUCUCCUAAAUUCAAGUUUAAGGGUCCAAAUCUCAAAUUUAAGGCUUCUAAUCACCAAGGUACCUUCCCUAACUUGUUAUACAACCCCUCUAGCCUUCAAAUUCGAGUUUAAACCACGGAUUAGGACCAUUAUCAUGUGUUUACGGCCCUAAAACAGUCCUAGGCCGUAAACUCAUAUAAAUGGUGUUUUUGGAGCAACAAAACCCUUCCAAACCACAAUUAGACCUUAGAUAUAGCUAGAUGACUGUAUGGAAUGGACUUAGAAUGCCUUAAACCAUGAUUUAGAGCCUUGUUCAUGUGUUUACGGCCCUGGAGCAUGCUUGGGUCGUAAACACAUAUAAAUGGGGUUUUUAUGCCCUUAAACUCUUCCAAAACACCAAUAAGGCUUAGAUACGACUUGUAGAAUUAUGGAAUUGGCCUUGGAACACCUUGAACAUCAAUUUAGAGGAGUAAACUUGAGUUUAUUGCCCAAGAACAUGCUUGGGCCGUAAACUCAUAUUCUUGGGGAGUAAACUCCUCUAAAUGUGUUAAGAUGCCACUUAAACACACCUUAAGCCUUGGGAUAAAUUCUAGAAAUGACCACAAACAAGAAUUGGACCUUAAAACAUAAUAAAACAUCCAUCUAAGGAGUUCACGGCCAUGAGGGGGUUCAUGGGCCGUAAACUCCAAAAAUCAUGCCCAAAAGUCCCCUAAAAUCCAUACAAGGCUUGGAAAAAUCAAUUGGAAUCACAUGUGAUUGAUUUAAGACCCAAAUCAUCAAGGACUUAGAGUGAGGGGGAGUUUACGGCCGUAAACUCCAUGUUUACUGCCGUAAACUCCAAUAAAUGGUCCCUAUGUGAGUUUUAAUCCAUUCCAAAGCCAAAAACCCAAGUCUAGCAUUAAUUCCCAAUUGUUAUGAAGCCAUUUUGCACCCAAAAACACCAUCCAAGAGUUCACGUCCGUGAACUCAUAUGGAUGAGGUGUUAUGGGCCGAAAAUUCAUGUAUGAGUUUACUCUUGAAGAGUAAACUCAAUAUUCUAGCUAUAUGUGUCCCCAAAUGUCACCCGGGUCAGGCCAAACACUUGUAAUGGGGUGUUUCCGCAACUAGAAGUGUAUAUGUCCUUAGCAAAUAAAUUAAUCAAGUCCUAAUUAGAUACAAAUGUGUAUCAUUUCAUAAUCCAUAGGAAUCUUGUGCGUUCACGAACCCAGAACUGACGUUUAGGAUCCAAACUGACGCGUUUCUCAACCGGUGAGUUCNACCGGUGAGUACCCCUACCCUUUUCAAAUGUUUUCAGGGGGAAUACAAGCAAAAGUACAAGGAAAUCUUGUACUUAAACUUAUUUUCAGUUCAAUGUUUUAUUUUAUGUAUGUUUCUAAUUUCAAAAUUUGUGUUAACUAAUGAUUCGAAUUGCAGGGUAAACAGUUAGACUAAAGUCAGAUUUCUUUAAAAAGUGUUUUAAACUAUAUUACUUUUUGUAAAAGAAAUCAUACUAAUCACAACUAAGAUUAAUACUAAACGAAUACGAAUACGAAUAUAACCAAUAAUAUAGUACGAAUAUGAAUACGAAUAUAACCAAUAGUAUAGUACGAUGAAUACGAAUAUAACCAAUAGUAUAGUACGAAUACGAAUAGAAAUAGGACUACGAAUGCGAAAUAACGCCUUUGGAUGACACCAAGACUUCGAAUAUACAGUUAGUGUACGCCUUGAAUGUCACCAGAGUUUCGAAUUUAAUACGAAAGUACGCCUCUGGACCUCUACUGAGUUUCGAAUACAUCCGCCUUAGAAUGUCGCCAGAGAUACGAAAAUACAACUAAUGUACUCUUUUGGAAAUCAUCAGAAUAAUCGAAAAUACUGUAAUGUACGUUUCUGGUGAAUCCAAAUAUUCGAAAAUACAACUAAGUUAGUAGAUGAUAGACAUUCGAAUGUAGGAUAACUAAGAGUUUAGAAUACUUAACUAAUACUACAAGUAUGAUAAUUACUAGUACUUCGAAAUCAAACCUAAGAACCAACCUCAACACAUAGGAAAAUAUGGGAUUUUCCUGAAGUAACAUAACAACUAGUAACGAAUAGACAACUUAAUACAUAGGAAAAUAUGGGAUUUUCCUGGGAUAGCAUAACAACUCAUAUACGAAUAAAGUAACAAAUGAAUAACUAAACUAUUAGGAAAAUAUGGGAUUUUCCUGUAAUGACAUAACAAACCAUUUUCGAAUUUGUAACAAAAGAUAACUAAACUGUUUUCAUAAGAAAAAUGUGGGAUUUUCUUGAACAACAACUUUUUCAGAAAGCAAAGGAAACUCGUUCUUUUCAAAACUAAACCGCUUAUGAACUCACCAGCUUUAUGCUGAUUUUCAAACCGCUUGUAUUCUCAGGUCAGCGUUAGACAGGUACACCGCCACCUUUUGGAGAAGACGGAGCGUUCCAAAGACUCGUCUUUACUUUUGUUCGUAUGAUAUAUGUAUAACACUUGUAUAACUUUUCUUUCAAACAAAUGUAAACAAUAUUAUGUAAUGUAAUGUUUUGUGUUUACUGUUUUACUGUGUGCAUUGGAUUUGAUACUCAACAUGGAGUCAACCCCGGAAAUGUUUCCGCCUUUGGUUUUCGGGUGUGACACCCACAACCAAACAAGGAACAAGAAAUAAAGGGGACCCACCAGUUCUAAGUCGAUCACGACUAAACUCUAUAUAACUCUAGGAUAUACACUUAGUAAUUAUGGCUGAAAACUAACAAUUCUAGAUAGAAUGUAGUCUUAAAAACCAAAGACCAAGACUAUGCCUAUCAUAGUUCAUCAAGUAGUGGUAGUAGUAGUGAACAUAAACUAUGCCAUUUAUAGUUUAUUAAAUAGUGGUGGUGGUAGUGAACAUAAACUAUACCAUUUAUAGUUUAUCAAAUAGUGGUAGUGGUAGUGAACAUAAACUAUACAUAUCAUAGUUCAUCAAAUAGUGGUAGUGGUAGUGAACAUGAGCUAUGCAUGUUAUAGUUUAUCAAAAACGUUUGUAUGAAAUGAAAAAUCCUUUUUGUAGUGAGUAUGUAAUGUAAAUGAAACAUAGUUUAUCAUAGUGUUUGUAAUACAUAUGCACCUAACUAUAGCUAUUAGAGUUUAGCAUAUCUAUUUGUAGUGUAUAAUAGGCUUAACUAUACGUAUUAUAAUUUAUAUAUAUUAUUUGUAGUGAUAGUAACCUCUUGCAUAUGAUUCGUACCUUUAAACUAGGGUAAAUAAUAAGUACUAUCAACAACAUGUAUAUAUACAUAUAUAAAUAUAUAUAUAUAUAUAUANUAUAUAUAUAUAUAUAUAUAUAUAUAUAAUAACACACACCUUGCUCAGCAAGCUACAAGGUGCAAAUGAAAUUGUUAACCAUUUUCUAGUUUUAACCUUUUGUUCUUGUUCUUACAAAAAUCAUAGAAAAAGUAUUUGAAGUGGAAAUCAGAAUCCGUAAAUUCUGAGAGUUUGGAAAAUGUUUCUAGUUUGUUCCUAAUUUUUAUUAUGAUUUUUAAAUACAUUUAACUUGUGUAAAAAUGUCCAUAUUCCCAGACUGGUCCGAAUUUGCUCUUGAAAUGAUAGGCAGUUUUGUAAAAAUCACCAUAAAUUGUAGAAAAAUCGUAUGGACUUGUGCAAGUAGUCAUUUUAAAGGUAUGAACCUGAACUAUAUGAACCUAAUACAGUUUUUGAAAACUUAAAUGUUUAAUUUGACCAAAAUAGUCCGUGAAUGGAGUUAAACUUUUCUGAUGAAAGCUAUUGGAAGAGUUUAGUUGUGUUCUUGGUGUUUUAACUUGUAUCCCCCCCCCAUAAAACUUAAGAAACCAUGAAAAGGUAGGGUAUGAACUUACCUGUUGUGAUUUCAGUGGAUGGAUGUUGAGGAAAGGAAGUGUUCAACUCAAGAACACUUAGAAGAUUGCUUGAAGAUUCGAAGUUCUAACACAAAUAUGAUGAAGUUUGUGUAAGAAACCUAUGAUUUGAGUAGAAAGAGGUGGAAUAAUCAUAUGAAGAACUUGAAAAUCAGCCUUGGAAAUCUCGAAAUUUAGAAAGAGAAGUGAGAGAAAAUGGAAUUUGUUAUUUGGUGGAGAAUGAGAGAAAUGAGAGGAGAGAUAAGAGUUUUUCCAACCUUUGACUAAGAGUGUGGCUGGAAAAUGGUGGGAAAAGGACAAUGAAAUGACUAGUUAUGGUGGAAGGAUAAGGGUUGGUCAUGGAGUGAGUAUGGGGAGGUUGCUUGUGUCAUACAUUAAGGCAAAGUCAACACUCCACCUAAACUAUCCUACCCACUAAUCUUGGAUAAGGAUUAUGCCCCAAAACGUGAUUAAUUAAUGAAAUAUGGGGUCUUAUAUGUUAAAAUAUAAUUUUGGGUGAAAAUCCCGUGCUAAAAUCAUGAAAAACGGGCCUAAAACUAAGUCGUGGUCGAAAACCGGGAGAAAAGUGGCGAAACUGCGAAGUUGGGACCGAAGGUGCGAGGGUUCGGUCCUUAGAGGUUGGGACCGAAGUUCGGUUGUGAGGAUAGGACCUAAGGUGGUCCUAUGGAGUUUCGGUUUGCAAGCAGCUUCGGGUUUGGUCCUAUGGAGUUUCGGUUCUGAGCAGUUCGGUCUGUUAGGUGUCGGUCCUUAGCAGGUUCGGUCCCUAUAGGGGACUUCGGUAUUUAAGAGGGUUCGCCCCUUAGAGAGGUUUUCGGUUCUGUAAGGCUAUUGUACCCAUUUUACCCCGUUUUAAGUGGUUUUUGAUCCGGUUAAGGGUCGGGAUGACCCGAAUGAUUACAAAAAGUUAAAUGAACUUUUGCUAUUUGGGAGAGGCUUCAUUUGUGACCUUUUUGAGUGUUUAGCUUCGCAACGCAAGGUCCGUAAACCCCGUUAAGCCAUGUUUAAGGAUCUUACACACCCCCGAUGGGUAUGCACUAGUGUUUUAUCGUUUUGGUACAUCACUUACCCCAAUUAAGGUUAAAGAAAUCUAAACAUAUAAACUUUCCGAGUGAUGAUUUCUUAUUAAAAUAGCAAGUUGUAAAGUAAUUACAUAACAUAAACCAUAGAUACAAGGGUUAGUUGAGUUGACCGGUUUGACUUGUUGACUUUAUUUGACUUUGACUCGACCGAAAAUUGACGGUUGUCACAUCAUCCCCCCGUUAAAGGAAAUUUCGUCCCGAAAUUAGCGUUUUGACUGGGACUUCAAGAAUUUGGGGAAAAUGUGUGGAUACUUUUCGAAGUACAAGAAAUUGAUAUGGUGAGGACUAAUCCUCCUUUUGUUAAAUGACAACCUUGGAAUUUCUUAUUGUAACUAGAGCAAAGUCGAUAUAAAAGGAGUGAAUGUCUUGGAAUGAUAGUUUAUUCUAUGUAUGCCUUUAAGCUCUUUGUUUUAUUAUUGUUAUUACUACUACAAAUGAUUCAUGUUGGAGUUAGUGAGUACUAGUAGUACGAGUGCUUCGACCAAAUUUUAUGACAAAAUUUGUGGCGUAAGUCCUACCAGUUCUUUUAUAAUCGCUUGGUGUAAACUAGUCGUAUAUCACUAAGAUUGCAAGGGCAGUCGAAUGAGUGACUCCGCCUUAAGCCACAACCAAACAAGGAACAGGAAAUAAGGCGGAAUUAUACAUUCUAAGUAACAACGACACUAAAUUCUUAUGAACGCGCCAGCUUUAUGAUGAUACUCGUUUUCAAAAUAACUUGUAUCCUCAGGGCAAAGAUAGACAGGUACAGGUGCAGCUUUUGGAGAAGAUGGAGCACAUACAAGACCCAUCUUUUAUUUUGUUAUACUUUUGGUGUCUAUUAAACUCUACAGAACACAUUUGUAAUCAAAUAUACUAUAUACAUGCAAUGGUUGUUGUCGCUUGUUUUUACUAUUAUGCAAUUGUUAUGAUACUGUACAUGACGUCCUCCACCCCAGAACGUAUUCCGCCGUUCAUCGGUUUUGGGGUGUGACAGAUUGGUAUCAGAGCAUUGUUUAUAGUGAAUCGAGUAUAUCAACCUAUAAAAGAUAUACGAACUAUAAACACUUCGGGACUAAAACACUCUGACCAAGAAUAUAUACUGCUAAAUACUAAAAUAUUUAAUUAAGUAUAUAUAUACACUCACUACUACAAAAGGGUCAGUAUCAUACUAGAACAUAACAAAAGUAUUAAGAUUGUAUAACAACACAAUUAAGCUUAGAGACAUAUAGUCACAUCUGGGUGGAUGUAGCCUGAUCAACUACAUUUUUCCAGGAGUGACUAGCAUGUGCCUAAGAGUGAUGGUGGUGUUGCAACAAGUCUAAAAACUUACCAACACUACCACAAGAACGUUAGAGCAAGAAUGCUAUAGGAGUAUUCUACAUUCUACUAACUACGUAUGUGAUAACUAAAAGGGUCGUUACUGGUAGGACAAUAGUUGCUAAGUGGAUACACCACGGUUACAUGUGACUAUGGCGCUAUAGACUCAGAAUCUAUGGCCUUUGCUUCAUUUCAUGUUCUUGUUUGAUUGGGGAUCUGAAGUUAGGGUUGCUUAUUCGAAGGACUAUCCUGCUUCGGUUAUAUGUAAUUGGUAUGCACUACGCAAGUAUUGGGUCGACCAAUAAUGAUCCAUCUCAUAAGUAUCCUAGAUAAGUACGUUUAUUAACCUUUCCAAACCAAGGCAAUGGAGGAUGGCUCGAUGAGGAGCCAGAAGAUGAUCACCCGAUCCCUUUGGAUGAUCAUCAUGCAGAAGGCUUUUCGGAUAGCUCCAGCUCCGAGCCAGAAGUUAACAACCUACCCCCUGUAGCUCCAAACCCCAACCCCCGUCCGGCAUUUCAAGGUCCCACUCCUAUGUGGGCAAUAACCUUGAACCGAUGGAGCGAGGAGCAGGGUCAGCCUUUACAUUACAAUGGAGACCGAAGUUUCUACAACAUAAGCGAGGAAGGAUCAGCGGACCAAGUUCUGCCCAUCAUGGUCCGAAGGAUUGCCAGGAACAUCGAGCAAGGUCAGGCAUCCAUUGGCCGAGUUGUAAAAGUGGAUGCCAAUUCAAAUCUCAACACUAUUCGCAUCCGCCAACUUGAAGAAGCUAUGGAUAGGACAAUGAGGACCAACGAGGCUCUGCAGCAACAGCUAGCUGCAUCCCGAGCCGAAGUUAGGGAACUCCGAGCACGUCAGAGGACUCAUGAACGACAACUUCAGGAAGUUAUGCGCCAAUUAGCUGAUCUGAGGGUUCACCCAAUGGGGACCCGUCGCCAGUAUAAGAUGUCAAAACAUCUCGCUCUUUUGUUUAAGGACUAGCCUUUUCUUUUCUAUGCUCAGUAGAGCACUUGUCUGUAAACAUUUCCUAACUAUGAAAAUACCCUAACUGAACUCCUAGGCUGCCAACGUUUUCCCUAUUGGUUUGAUGUAAGACCUACUGUUAGGUCAUUUUUUCUAAACACAUUUUACAUCAUGAAUACCAAUAUAUUGGCAGUUAGCUACUCUAUUGCUAUGACUCUCUCUCUCUGAUUAUUGGUCUAUGUUGAUUUAGUCCAUAAAACCCUCUUAUCAUACUUGCAAUAGACUCUUACUAUUGUCAACAUCACUAUGAACUUUCAAUAAAAGAUGCCUCCUCGUAAGCGCCCGAACAGAGGCAGACCUGCAACUCAAACCCCACCUCCACCUCCUCCUUCGCAGUUUGAUCCAGUGCUGUUUCAAACGGCCGUAACCACAGCUGUGACAGCAGCCAUGGCCCAAAUGAAUUCUGUCGAUGCUAGUGGAGCCGGAAUGGGCACCAACUCCAGACAUGGUGAAAUUUCCUCUCGUACACCAGGGUGUACUUAUAAAGAUAUAAUGAACUGUAAGCCCACACUUUUCAAUGGGACCGAAGGAAUCCUUGCUCUGUCCUAAUGGAUCGAAAGAGCCGAAGCUGUUUUCGAAAUGUGCUCAUGCCCCGAAGAAAGCAAAAUCAAGUUCGCUGCUGCCACCUUUACCGAAAGGGCCCUGACAUGGUGGAAUGGCCAUGUCAACUCACUCUCUUUAGUGACAGCCAAUGCCAUGGGCUGGGAUACACUGAAGGACCUACUGAGAAAGGAGUACUCCCCUAGAGGAGAGGUACAGAAGCUUGAAGAGGAACUCUGGAACCUCAAAAUGAAGGGGACAGACAUAGUGGCCUAUACGGCCAGGUUUUGCGACCUGGUGGCUAUGUGCCCUAAUAUGAUCCCUUCUGAAAGCAAGGAAAUCGAGCGAUACAUCUAGGGUUUAGUGCCCCCGUAUCAAGGAAAUGUUCUAUCCUCCCAUCCUGUAACCUUUGAUAACGCCAAGGAGUUGGCCCACAGGUUGCAGGAUGGGAACUGCAACUGCAACUGCACCGCCCAAGUCAACUGAAAAAAAGAGGAAGCAUUGGGGUCAGAUGAAGGGCAAGAAAACUCAACCCUCCUCCAAACAUCAAUAAAUUGUGGUUGUCCAUGCUGCCACCACCCCUGCUACCCCUGCACCAGCAAAAACUUACGUUGGGAACCUGCCCAAGUGCCCCAAGUGCCCCUUCCAUCACAACGGCCCCUGCCGUGAAUUGCAAUGCACCAACUACGGCCGGAAGGGCCAUACCGUCCAGUUUUGCAGAUCCCAACCCAAACCUAUCUCGCAAGUCCCCCGUUCGGGAGUGACCCAGACCUGUUAUGGAUGCGGUGAAGCUGGCCAUUUCAAGAAAAACUGUCCGAAGGCUGGGAACACGGGAGGAACAGGAAGACUACUCGCUAUUGGCCACAACGAAGCAGCAGCAGAUCCCGCGGAAGUCACAGGUACAUUCCUUCUCAACAACUCUUAUGCCUGUGUCUUAUUCGAUAGUGGUGCAGAAAGAAGCUUCAUAAACCAAAACUUUAAACACUUACUUAAACAAUCCCCACAACCACUAAAAGAAACAUCUGUCAUAGAAAUGGCUAACGGAAAGACCGAAGGCUCUAACGAAAUUUACAUUGGUUGUACCUUCACGUCAGACGAUCAUUCAUUCCCAAUCGAUCUCAUACCAGUCUCGAUCAAGAGUUUCGAUGUCAUUGUUGGCAUGGACUGGUUGAGUCUUCAUCAUGAUGAUAUUCUAUGUUUCGACAAAGCCAUCCGCCUAAAUCUACCGAAUCACGAAACUCUGUUAAUCUACGGAGACAAACCCAGUGCAAGCCUUCGUAUCAUCUCAAGUAUUCAAGCUCAGAAAUACUUGCGUAAGGAAUACCACACCUUUCUUGCACACGUCGUCGACACAAGCCAGAAAGCGAGAGAUCCAAAAGACAUCCCUGUUGUAUGCGAUUUCCCUGACGUCUUCCCCGAGGACCUUCCAGGUUUACCUCCCAAACGUCAAGUUGAGUUCAAAAUCGACCUAGUCCCAGGAGAUACCCCCGUAGCUAAGUCGCCCUAUCGUUUAGCGCCUGCCGAGAUGCAAGAACUAUCCGGCCAACUUAACGAGCUGCUCAGCAAGGGCUUUAUAAGACUGAUCUUUUCACCCUGGGGAGCUCCGGUCUUGUUCGUGAAAAAGAAAGACGGAUCGUUCCGUAUGUGCAUCGAUUAUAGAGAGCUCAACAAACUCACGAUCAAAAAUCGCUACCCUCUUCCCCGUAUAGACGACCUAUUCGACCAACUGCAAGGGGCGAGUUACUUUUCCAAGAUUGAUCUUAGGUCCGGGUAUCACCAGUUACGAGUGCUUGAGGAGGAUGUUCCGAAGACAACCUUCCGAACUCGUUACGGGCAUUACGAGUUCGUAGUGAUGCCUUUUGGACUGACUAACGCCCCCGCAGUGUUAAUGGACUUGAUGAAUAGAGUGUGUCGUCCAUACUUAGAUCAGUUCGUCAUCGUCUUUAUUGAUGAUAUACUCGUCUACUCUCGGAGUGAGGAAGAACACAAGAAUCAUCUACGACGAGUCCUAGAAACCCUGCGAUCGGAGAAGUUAUACACGAAGUUCUCUAAGUGCGAAUUUUGGAUCCGAAGGGUUGAAUUCUUAGGACACGUGGUUAGUGAGGAAGGAAUCCACGUGGACCCAUCCAAAAUUAAAGUUAUCGAGAACUGGUCAGCACCAAAGACGCCUACAGAAAUUCGUCAAUUUCUAGGCCUCGCUGGCCACUACCGCAGGUUCAUUUAGAACUUCUCUCGAAUUGCGAAACCUCUCACCCCAUUGACAUAGAAAGGCGUGACAUUCGACUGGGAAGAGAAACAGGAGAAGGCAUUCCAGGCCCUGAAGCGAGCCCUAUGCACAACACCGGUGUUAUCCCUUCCCAAAGGGAUAGAAGAUUUUGUGGUAUACUGUGAUGCAUCGAACCAAGGGCUCGAUUGUGUCUUGAUGCAACGAGGUAAGGUCAUCGCCUAUGCCUCAAGACAGCUAAAGACACAUGAGGAAAACUACACCACUCACGACCUCGAGUUAGGGGCGGUUGUAUUCGCUCUAAAGAUCUGGAGACAUUACUUGUAUGGAACGAAGAGCAUAAUAUACACUGAUCAUAAAAGCCUCCAACACAUACUGAACCAGAAGGAGCUCAAUAUGAGACAACGACGGUGGGUCAAACUACUCAGUGAUUAUGACUGCGAGAUUCGUUAUCACCCGGGAAAAGCCAAUGUAGUAGUAGACGCCCUAAGCAGAAAAGAGUAUACUGGUCGAAGGGUCAAGUCAUUAACAAUGACUAUCCAUUCGCAUCUACCCGCACAGAUUAAGGAGGCUCAGCUCGAAGCCUUAAAGCCUGAGAAUGUGGCGGAAGAAUCCCUGCGUGGAAUGGAUAAGAACUUGGAGAUCAAGGGUGACGGAGCCUAUUAUCUCACGGACCGAAUCUGGAUUCCGCGCCACGAUGGUUUUAGAGACUUGGUCAUGAAGGAAGCACACAACACUCGGUACUCCAUUCACCCAGGUUCAGAUAAGAUAUAUCUGGAUCUCAAAAAGCUAUACUGGUGGCCUAACAUGAAAGCAGAGAUUGCUACCUUCGUGAGUAAAUGCCUUACUUGCGCAAAGGUCAAGGUCGAAUACCAGAAGCCAUCAGGUCUCCUCCAACAACCGGAGAUACCAGAGUGGAAGUGGGAGCGGAUCACCAUGGAUUUCAUAACCAAGCUACCUAAGACAACGGGUGGGUUGGAUACCAUAUGGGUCAUCGUCGACAGACUGACCAAGUCCACACACUUCCUACCUAUCAAAGAAACAGAUAAGAUGGAGAAACUCACCAGAACAUACAUUAAGGAGAUAGUAUGACUACAUGGUGUCCCUGUAUCUAUUAUCUCUGAUAGAGAUAGUAGGUUUACUUCGAGAUUUUGGCAAUCACUGCAAAUAGCAUUAGGGACGAGGCUGGACAUGAGUACAGGCUACCACCCACAGACUGAAGGACAAAGUGAGAGGACGAUCCAAACCUUAGAGGAUAUGCUGCAAGCCUAGGUGAUUGACUUUGGUAAAGCGUGGGAUACACACUUACCCCUUAUGGAGUUUUCCUACAACAAUAGUUAUCAUACGAGCAUCAAGGCAGCUCCAUUUGAAGCCCUCUACGGUCGGAAGUGCGGAUCCCCUCUGUGCUGGGCUGAGGUGGGUGACACUCAGUUAGCCAAAGGAUGAGUUCCUGACAGUGCCCUCACGGGUCCGGAGAUCAUUUGAGAAACGACCGAGAAGAUUGUACAGAUUCGCGAACGAUUAAAAGCCGCUAGGGAUCGACAGAAAAGCUACGCAGACAAACGAAGAAAACCUUUGGAACUCCAGGUGGGAGACCGAGUCCUUUUGAAAGUCUCACCCUGGAAGGGCACGAUACGCUUUGGAAAACGAGGAAAGCUGAACCCAAGGUACAUAGGGCCUUUCGAGAUUCUCGCCAGAAUAGGCCCCGUAGCUUACAAACUCAACCUACCCCACGAGCUUAGUAACAUACAUCCUACCUUCCACGUCUCGAACUUGAAAAAGUGCCUAUCCGACGAGACUCUUGUAAUUCCACUCGACGAGAUCGAAAUCAACGAGAGUCUCAACUUCGUAGAAGAACCUGUGCAAAUUAUGGAUCGAGAAGUCAAGCGAACGAAGCAAAGUCGCAUCCCAAUUAUAAAGGUUCGCUGGAAUGCCAAGCGAGGACCGGAGUUCACUUGGGAGCGAGAGGAUCAAAUGAAACAUAAAUAUCCCCAUCUUUUUGCUUAGUUAAUAUGUAUUAGCUUAGUUGCUUGAACUAUAAUUUUAGGACGAAAUUCCCCUAACGGGGGGAGGAUGUGACAACCUGACACUUUUACAUUGAGCAAUCGAUCCAUAUAUCUAUAAUUCACUUGAAUUUAGCAUCUUUUAAUAGUAUAUUGAGUUCGCACUAGUGUUUUAGGCUUAAUAUAUCAUAGAUAUGGACCUUAGGAAGGAUUAGGAAGGGUGUUGCAUCACAAAAUCCAGCCAAACACACCAAAAGAGGUGUGUGCAGCCGCACACUUGUGUGUGCGGCCAAGCCAACCGCACACCCAGCAACAAACCCCUCCAGCCUCACACUCAACCCUAUAUAAAGUGGAGGACCCCCUUCCAUUCACUUUUGGCUGCAUCCUUUCUCUCUCUCUAUACUUUCUCUCUCUCGAAAACCACCCAAAAACACCUAGAAGGCUCCCAAAAUGUGAAGAACACCAUCAUUUAGCUUGUUAUAGAGGUAAAACACUUGAAUCCAAGCCUCAAACUCAUAAUGUUCUUCAUGUUCUUCAUCCUAUGAAGGAGUGCGGCCGCACACCUUAAUCAGGUAGUCGCACACACUCAUAAUACCCUCCAAAGUGAGAGUAAGGCCACAUAAUCAACACACGGGACUCAAGCAAGGAGUGUACGGCCGCACACCCCUGUGUACGGCCGCACACACACCCUGUACGGCCGCACACUCUAGUGUGCAGCCUCACUCACAAGUCUGGCUGCAUACCCCAGCCGCACACUCACCUUUAUGGCCAUACACACACCCUAAUACUCAUAUUUGGCCUUAAACUUGCAUAGAUCAUUGGUCAUGGGACACUUAGUCUUAGUGAUUCCAAGCCCUUAAGAGGGAUUUCCCAUCAUGUUUAGUCAUGAAACACCUUAGCUAUAAGUUAUAUAUGUGUCACCAUAUAAUUAAUAGGGGCUACGUACGUUCAGAGCAUCCGUUGACACUCGACACUCAUACGAAUCGCAUACUUGAACCCUACAAUAAACUGUGAGUUCAUACGCCUUAAUGAACCUUUCUAAAUGUUUUUACAUGUUUUAGGGGGGUGUAGGAUACAAGUAUAAUUCAACAAGUUUUUAUUACGAAAUCAUAUGUGAUUCACAAAUUAUCAUCAAAAAGGAGUUUUUCUACACUUUUAGUUGCUAUCAAUAAAACUGUUUUAUCAAAUGCAUUUUUUUAGAUUAAAUUGUUGUCAAACUAUUUUUAAAACUGUGUUUAAAUCACUUUUCUUUUAAUAUAUAUAUAUAUAUAUANAAUAUAUAUAUCUACAUUAAUAUAUUUAUAUAAGUAAGGCUUGAAGGACUUAGGACCGAUAGCUCGCCUUAUUUCCUGUUCUUGUUUGAUGUGGUCUUAGGGUAUCUGUUAUCCGUCCGACUGUCAUUGGUUUCUUAGUUGUAUAUCAUAUAUAUUUGUGUUAGAUAUGAAAGUUUUCGUCUUAUUCAAUACCUUUGUUAUUCAAAGACAGGAAAUCAUACACUCUAGUUAACUAUAAUAGGUAUAGUUAAGAUUACUGCUCGUUACCUCUACUACUGCUAUACUCACUAUAACUGCUAUUAUUACAAGUUAAUACACAUAUAAGAGAACACUCUAUGAACUAUACAAAAAGACUACUAUACUAUAAUACAAAAGAAUACACUAAUCCAGAGUAUAACACACUAUCCCUCUAUACGCUUACACCAUGUAACCAGGGUUUUCCGAAAGGAAGGCAACACUACAUGUAAAGAUAUAUAUGGGGCAAACACUAUUACAUCCCGAAUGUUAACUACAGUCCGAGCCGACUAGGCCCAGGGGUGGCACUACAUCACUACACUACGCAUGACCAGGAAGGUCAUCGGGUUCUCUAUUAUCAUCUAGUCUGGUUACAUGAGGGUUACACCUUUAUUUAAAUUAAUACACUAAGACUUAUGUCUAAGCUAACAUCCCGAAGUAAGUAAGUAUCAAUUACUAAUGGAAGUUUGCACCACUACUACUGUCAAUGGGCAUAAUUUUUCUUCAUCUAUGUUACUCACAUGAGAUUUAUUACCGUACUUUUAUAACUGAAGGUUUUCAAUGAUAAUAUUUACGCACAACUCAAAGGAUUUAACUUACAACGUACUUUUCUGGAAAAUAUAGGAUUUUCUAGGGAUUUCUACUACUUAUAAACAUAAAUUUCAGUUUUUAUACUAUAAGUUUGUAAGCACUUCUAUACAACAACGACACUAAAUUCUUAUGAACACACCAGCUUUAUGUUGAUACUCGUUUUCAAAAUAACUUAUAUCCUCAGGGCAAAGAUAGACAGGUACAGGUGUAGCUUUUGGAGAAGAUGGAGCACAUACAAGACCCAUCUUUUAUUUUGUUAUACUUUUGGUGUCUAUUAAACUCUACAGAACACAUUUGUAAUUAAAUAUACUAUAUACAUGCAAUGGUUGUUGUCACUUGUUUUUACUAUUAUGCAAUUGUUAUGAUAUUGUACACGACGUCCUCCACCCCAGAACGUAUUCCGCCGUUCAUCAGUUUUGGGGUGUGACAAAAAUGGACAAACAUGAGUUUACGGUUGUGAACUCAUGUGUUUACAACCAUAAACUCACCAAGGGUCCUUCAAGAACUGUAAACCCCUUUUCCAAGGUCAAUUCAAGUCCCGAUCACUUCCAUAGCCUUUGAUUCAACCUUAGAACCUUCCCUUGUGCAUUGUAAGACCUUUAAACAUCCAACAACACACCACCCAUGAGUUUACGGUCGUAAACUCAUGGGGAUAUGGUCUUUGUACUGUAAACACCCCUAAGGGUUUACACUCGAAGAGUAAAGUCCUUAUCUAGGCCCUACACACUCUUAGAUGCAACCCGAAUCAUUCCUAACACUUGAGAUAAAGUGUUUUCGCGCCUUGGAGUGUAUUUUCUUACUUAAUUAGUAGUUCAAAGUCUAAUUAGAUACAAUUAUGUAUCUCCUUAUGUUACAUAGGAACCUCACGCGUGUUCAAGCCUUAAACUGACACUUAGCAUCCUAGCCGGCACAUUUCUCGUCUGGUGAGUUCAUACCCCUACACCAUUUUCCAUGUUUUUCAUGUUUUCAGGGGGGGGGAUACAAGAAAAAGUACAAGGAAAUCUUGUACUCAAACUCAUUAUUUCGUAUGAAAUGUUACAUGUUUAGCAUGCUUUUAACACUGAAAACCGUAUUGCCAACCUUUUAACUUGCAGAGAUAGUUUUCAAACUAAUUGUAAAACUUAUUAUGAAAUGUUAUAUUUUAUAUUUCACAAAGGAUUUCAUGCCAUUCAUAAAACUGGAUUUUUCCGUAUUAUUACUUGUAAAUUCGUUAUUCUUAAGAUUGGAGACACGUCCUUAGAAACACUCCACGAUGAUACGCGAGUGGAGGACCGCCCCUGUAACCAGAAUCUCCUGGAGGGAAAACGUGACUUGACUGUAUAGACCUAUAUGGGGCUGACUACCCCACACCUUGUUGUUAGCUACAGUGGGACUGACAGGUCUACGGGUGACACUAGUCAUAAAUGAUACUGGCCUCGUUACGCGCCAUAUCUAGUUUAUCGUAUGGUUAUGGAACUUGCAACUUAGAUAAUGGAGAUUUACUCUUAAGUAAUAAUGAACCUAGUGAACUAGAGGGUAUCAGUAAUACCCUUAGGUAUUAGUUGACAACCUAUUUAUUAGUUUUAUAUACGUGUUAAAACUAAUGUACUUUCCAAGGAUAACCAAACUUUCAGAGAAACUUUACUUAACAUUGCAAGUAUGGUAGAUACUUAUACAUUUCAUUCCGGAUCGAUAACCAACCACCCUACUUUUAAGGAAAAUAAGGGUUUUUCCUGGGAUAACUUUACUUGACUUGUCAUAAAUAGGUUGUUUAACAAAUGGAUAACCACACUUAUUUUAUUAGAAAAUAUGGGAUUUUCUUGGGAACAACUUUUCGCAAACUUAAAGGAACAUUUUCUUUUACAGAAACAAACUGCUUAUGAACUCACCAGCUUUAUGCUGAUAUUUUCAAAACUGCUUGUAUUCUCAGGUUCAUGUUAGACAGGUAACCCGCUUUCUUUUGGAGAAGAUGGAGCAUAUAGAAGUCUCGUCUUUACUUUUGAUAUACUGAUGUAUAUAUAUAUAUAUAUAUAUANUCAAACAAAUGUAAAUAUUUCUAUGUAAUGUAAUGGUUGUGUUUACUAUGCUUGCUAUGUACAUUGGUUGUGAUACUUUACAUGAUGUCCUCCUGUGACAACCCGAAACUUCUAAUCCAUGUAAUUAAUCUGUGUUUCAGCACUAAAACUUGAGUUCAUUGUCUCUUGUGAUUCCAUAUGGGUGCUUUAGACUUAGUAUAAUUUAGAUAUGAGUCUUAGGAAGGGUUGGAGAGUGUUUAGUAUCACAAAAUUAGACCAAAACUCACCAAAUAAGGUGUGUGCGGCCACACACCUGUGUGUACGGCCACACACCCAACCGCAAACACCCUCAACCUCACACCCAAUUCAAUUUAUGGAUGGAUACCUCUUCAUUCAUUCAUUUAGAUGUUCUCUUCCCUUUCUCUACUUUCUCUCUCUAAAUCAUUAACCAAGAACACUUGGAAGGCUUCAUAAUCGUGAUCUACUUCAUCUUCAAGCUAAGUGUAGUGGUAAACACUUGAAUCCCAAGCUUAAAACUCAUUAUUUUCAUCAUCCCAUGAAGGUGUACGACCGCACACCUUCAAAUAGGGGCAGCAUACAUUCAAAAUUCCCAAGUAUGAAGAGCAUACACUUCAAAAUCAACAUAUGGACUCAAAUGAGGAGUGUACGGCCGCACACACCCUCUGUACGGCCGCACACUCAUUUUCAAGACCAUAUACCCAUUUUUGGCCCUAAACUUGCAUAAAUUAUUAAGUUUGGAUCAUAGGACACUUAUUCUUAGUAAUUCCAAGCCCUAAGGAUGUUUUCCCAUCAUGUUUAGUCUUGGAAAAGCCUUAGUUCUAACUCAUUUAUAUGUCAUCACAUGUAAAAUAGGGGCCAUAGGAGUUCAGGGCAUCCGUUGACACUCGAUCUCUAUAUUAAGCGGUGAGUUCAUACCCCUACCCUUUUUCACUGGUUUUAACUGUUUUUAGGAGGGAACACAAUCAAAGUACAAGGGUUUCUUGUACUUAAAACUUAUUUUGUGUGUGUGUUUCACAUUUCAUAUGCUUUUAACACUGAUAUACACUACUGAUAACCGUAUGAACAUGCAGAUUACGUAACAUGUUAUUUGUGAAAUGGGUUUUAUAAACUGUUAUGUUUUAUAUAUUUCACAAAUGGUUUUCCACAUUUUAUCAGUUAAAAGCAUGACAUUAGAACAUAUGAACAUGAAACCUGUACACUGUUUGUCCUCGGUAACACUCCACAGAGAUACGCGAGUGGAGGACUAUCAUAUUACUACUAGUAAAUUUGUUAUUCCUGUGCGAUUGGAGAC
rnacentral:lncRNA from 1 species